CCAAAUAUUCUGUAUCCCACUUGCCACUUGUCCUUCCAUCGAUCCCCACAUCAAAUCCUAACCUCUGAUAAACCCUAGCUCUGGAAAUUCGACUAAAACCCCAAACUCCUAAAGCUUGCAUAGGUCGCUCACUGGAUUAGAGAUUAAUAUAACUAAUUAGGUCACAUCAUUCAUCGUCAGAUCCAAUAUUGAUGCAAAGCAUAGAGAUAUAUAGUGUAUACAAAUCAAUAAUUACAUACUUAAUCAGCUUAAUCACGCAAUUAACUCAAUAAACAAAGGGAAAAUGAAAGCAUAACAUAAAAUUAAUGCCAUCACCAUCUUACACAAGUUCAACCCCUUUAAAUCUACUUUAAUAAAAAAAAAUGAAAAAAUAGAUGAUCUGGGGCUCCCUUCGAUCCGAUCCUAAUUAUCCAGGCGUUAUUGACGCGGCCGGCUCAGAGAUCGGACCGGUUCUUGAAAUCGGAGGCGAGUCUGUUGGCGAUGGAGGAGUGGUACAUGGCGUCGUGAAACGUCUCCGUCUCGAUGGUCUUGAGCCGGAGCUGCUUGGCCUUCUCCUCCGUGAAGCAGCCCGGCGCGAACCGGGAUCGCUGCGGCGGCGGCUUGGACUCCGGUCCGGCCUCGGCCGGCUCGGUGGAUUUGGAGUUGGUGGAGUCAAUGUAGUCCGGUUCAGCGGACCAGCCGAAGAGGGGGCUCCACCACUUGGAGGUGCGGGCCGGGUCGGGCUUGCGGUUGGCGGCGGCGCACGGGGCGGUGAGGGAUGGACGGAAGUGGAUGAGAUUGGUGGCCAUUUUUAGAGAGAGAAAGAGAUGAGAGAGAGAGAGAGAGAGCUUCUUCAAAUGAACGUUUGCGUUGGGGUUGGAGUAAUGUGCCAGUUUGCAGGUUGCGAAUUUAAAGGGGAAGUGUGGGAAAAGUGGAUAAGGACCGACAGUGUUCGUGUUCGUACAAUAAAUAACUCCGGGCACGUGUGAGCAGGGGCCCACUUUGGCUUUUUGAGUUUUGAAUGAACAUUCCUACCGGCUAAUCCGGUCUCCGUUUAGAUUUGGUCUUAGAUGCCUACGGGAUAGUGAAUGGACCGUAAUAGCCUCCUUUUCACUUUUUUUACUUUUUUCUUUUACUGUUGGCCUCUGUGAUCACGGAGUCUUCAAUAUUAUGUACACGGUGUGUAGUUUCACUUAGGGCAUCUCUAAAAAUGGUUGCCAUACCUAAAUUCAUACUUAAAACCCAUAAAAAUUCAUCUCCAACAAUUAAAACUCAUACUCAAUUAUGGGUUCCUACUACACAGACGACCCAAAAUGGGUCGAGUUGCAAGGAGGAAACCCAAAACUGUAGACGCGGGACCCAGAUGGCAACAAAAGGCAGCAGGUGCACGUGAAAGACUGGGUAGCGGCAGGAGCUACACGCGGUGAGCUUGGUCUGUGGAGAACGCGCGCUAAAGACAGAAAAACGGGCAGGCGAGGAGCGCGCGGGAGCGCGAGACGCGCCAAUCACGCGUGAGCGGGAGAUGCACACCUGCGGUUGAACCACGUGAGCUCGCUUCUGACCCUCCAAAGGUCCAAAAACGCUCGGCCCAGAUUGAAUGAUCAUUCAAAUCAUCAGGUCCAGAAAAAAUAGGCCGAAAAUUAAAUAAUUUGAAUGAAAAAAAUUUGGGUAUGAGUAUGGGUUUUGAUAUAAUGGUUGGAGAUGAAAUAUGAGUUUGAAUAGUAAUGGGUUUGGGUAACUCAAAAUAUGGGUAUGGGUUUGAGUAUGACAACCAUUGUUGGAGAUGCCCUUACCUAUGUGGAUAUAAACAGCUAUGAAUAAACCGUGUACUUGUACCGUUAUGUAUACAAGAAUUUUUCGUUCUAGGGUCAGUCUUAUUCUUCAAAUGGGUAGUUUAUAAAUUAAAUUAAAUUAAAUUAUGGUAACAGAAAAAUAGAUGAUGUGUGAUAAAUAAAAUAGCGUGUGCAUAGUAUCAUCAAUCCUCUCGAUUAUUAUAUGAACCAGUCUUCCAUGGACUCGAGUAUAUAUGUAAUUCAUGCAGGGCUUAGUAUAUCCGAGUAUAUGCCAUUGAAUCACUAGCUACUUGAACAAUAUGAAAUUAGUUUUACAAGUUGAAGUAUAAUCUACAAAUUUUCUCCGACGCAUGUACCAUGCUAUCAUUGAAUAUGAUGGAGUACGUCGUCAAACUAUUCUCAAGCGGCAUAACAACCGCCGGUAAAUACAUUUCUCAACCCAGCUAAGACAGCAAGAGAUGAAAAUAUCCCAUGCAGAUGCAGAUGCCAUAUUGAAUAAGUUGUCGUGGACGAUCAUGAAAACCGAAAAAUUGGAGCUUCCCCGAAACCUUGGUCUCGUUCUCUUGACGUUUUCCCCCGACUGACCUUUCCAAGUUUGGAGGAAAGAGGCCAAAGUAUGAUUCAAAAUUGGUACAAAACAGUAGCAUCGUCGAUACAUAAGAGCGAAGAUUCCCCAGAUGCUCUAUGUCGUCCCUGUCCUUCAUUCGUCCGUUUGUCUCCGUCCUAAAACUGCAGAAAGUCGGACGGUAUGUACACGUUCAGAUCAGUCUAUUCAAAAGUCUGAAGAUUCAGAACAUCCUUGGCCCUUGGAUUUUCUGUUGGUGAAUACGACAUGCGCGCACGUUUUUUUGUUCUCUGGUUCAAAAUUCAAAUAUCUCUCUUCGUGUUCGUUUUGGAGCUGUAAAACCUCAAAAUGAAUCCGGCAGAUAAUACAAAGUUACUUCUCGAUCACUGUCGAGGUGGUAGCUAGGGAUCGAACUUUUCAAUUUUGACCGAUGCUAAAUGAGUCAUUGCCACAAGUCCCUCAGCCGCUCAACUUGGAAGCUGAGAACAACGUUGCUUUGUUUUCAACUCUAGUGCAAUGUGGGAUGUCCGCCGAGACUUGACUUGUCUGGAUGGGGAUUUCAUUAGAAGGCCACAAGAUGCAAGGGGCGACCCAAAUAGCUAGGCCUGCAUAGAAUAGAAUGAGGCCCAAAAACAGGUGUCCUUCCAUUAAUUUCCUAGGCCACCAAUAUCACUAGAAAUGUGUAGAAAUUCGGCCCUAGAGGACUAUUUGGGCCCUUCAUGGAUCAUACGAUAUAGAUCAGAUAUAUAUAUUGUAGGCCUUAUUUGAUACUAUAUAGCUCUAUAUAUCCGGACUACUACUCACCUUGUUUCUUUAAGUGAUCCUUGUAUGUUAUUGGCCAUUUAUCUUUGCAUCUCUUAAUCCAGACUUCGGAAUGAUGAAUGGUAAGUCAGUAUGUAUUAGGGAAGAGCUUUCCCAUCGUUCUGUUAUAUCAAGCUGAAUGAAGUUGUACGUACCUCGAUGAAAAAGGAAAGCUAAUCCAGUUGCGAGAAGAAGAUCGAAGUUGUUCAUGGUGAGAAUAGAAACCCUGAGGCAAAUUGUGCGUAACUCGUACAGAGAAUUAGUGCAAUAAUGUGACAGUUAAGUUAAAGCUUGAACAUCAAUGCUAAAGGCAUCACUUGCUUGUUUUGGAAUCACGUACAACUUCGAAAUCUUGACAGAAAGUGUUAACUAAUUGUAUCCCUGUUCAGGUUUUUGAUGAACUCCGCAAGUCACUAAAUCUUCUCUUUCGACCAACUUUGUGUCUAUCAAGCAGUUGUUGCUCCAUCAUAGUUUCCAGUAGUUCAUCACAAAAUAUCAAGGUUGGCUAGACAUGUAUAUAUAUGUCUCAUGUCAUCCAAAUCCAAAACGAAUGUACCACAUGCAUGAAUAGAAGAAUUGCUAUAUACGAACCCAAGCUAUCAGCCAAGCAGUCGAAAGUCAUGCACAGCACAACUAACUGAAGCAUCAGUGUGACGGUGAUGAUCAUGAGUUGCAGUGGUUACAUGCAUGUUGGUUAAUUGAAGAAGCUAACCUAAACUUAUCUCACUGCAUGCAACUUGUGUGGUCCGCUCUCCAAAAUUUCGAGACCACAAUCCCACAUGCAGAGAAAUUUAAGACGUUGAAGAAUUCCUACAGUGACAACUGAUACGACUCCCUCCUCAAGUUGGAAUUAAAGACAUUAAUCUUCUGCAGCAAAGCUUUUGUUAAUUUUUCGGGUCCAUUUCAUAUAGGGUUCGGUUGCUAUAUAUAUUUAUAUGGCAUACAUCAAAUCGUGAGUCGUCCGAUCGUUUAACAAUUUAAAAUUCAAGACGAUUGGACAACUCACGGCUUAAUCUUAAUGUAUGCUAUAUAUAGCAUAGUAGAAAAGUCUUUUCCUAUAAACCUAACAGAAGGGCUUGGCUAAUAUAGUAACCCAGAAUCUCCCCCAUCUCCAAUAAUGCUUCUCAGAUCUUUAUGAAUAUGAAUAUGAAUUAUUAAGGUGGUGGGAGACAUUUAAUCAUUGAUGCCCUCUAUUGGAGCUUUGCAAAGGGUCCAAAGUUAGGUCCCAAAUCGGCAUGUCACUCCUUUUCCUCUAGUUGUUAGUCGCCAUUUCUAGGACCUCUACAGGGCUCCAUGAGCUGACUGGGUUUUGCUUCUUCCAAAUGUCUAGGCCUAUCCCCUUUCACUUUCAGCAACUCAACCACCGACCCAAUUCUCCGUCACUGACCAAGCUUAUGUUGUAAUUUAGCUUACAAGUCAGACUUUAACACUAAUCUAAUUUACCCAACAGUAAACACAAAAGGGGUUAUAGAGAAGCUGUAGUCAUCGCCGGCGACCGUAUCUUUAGCAGCCGGGAUUGGUUUGUGUAACCUAAUUAACCUCCAGACUCGGGGAAACAAAGCAGACCAAUUAUGAUUCAUGUUCAUGAAGAGCUAGCUUUUCUGUGCCAUCAUAGUUUUUAAACUUAUAAAGCCUAACUUAUGAUGGGGGAAGGGGCCUCUACCGCCCUCUAGUACCUAACUGACUUUAAAAUUUACAAGGCAUGAAUCUACGCAAUGCAAUAAACAUGGUCGGCCGCUUCUCAUAAUUGAAAUUCAUUCGAAUCUAGCUAGCUAGCUAGACAUAACUAUAUGCAUGAUCGGUUGUUCCUACCUAGCUAUAGACAAUUAACCUAGCACUGCGCGCUCGCUCUCUUUGAAUUUUAGUACUCAUGCAUGCAUAGUGCACAGUGCCCUUACGGUCAUAUCCCUGCAGCAGAUCCUGCUGCAGAACCUGCAUGCCUCCCCUGCGUAUAUAAUACAUAUACAUACACAAACAUUUCUAACUCUCUACUUUAACAUACACAAAAAUAAGACGAUUGACUAAUUAAUCAUAAUGCUUUUUAAUAUAAAACACAACCUUUUCUAUUGGGGAAGAAAGAAUAGGCUUCAAGAAAGAAAUCAUCUACCCUGAUCAUAAUUUCUUCAAUGACAGAUUGACAGAUGUAAUUACAGGACGUACUACUGCCCGCACACACGUUAAAAUAAGAACGGUCUAUAUUGCAGUCCAUUUUUCCUCAAGAGAUACCAAUCAAGUUUGAAACCCUAGCAUGGAAAUAAUGCAUAUAUGCGAACCUUCAAAUAAUUAAACAGUGGUUGUCCAGAAAAGACUGGUCCAGUUAAAACCCGUGUGCGUACAGAGAUGCAAAGCAAAACUGCGGUACUGGGUUUAGACUCCUUCACGGAAAGACAACCAAAACCCUUUGAAACUUGUUCAAAGCGAACCGCGGACCCAUGAGAUCGAUCAAACUGGGACCAGGGUAGAUACCUCUUUGUGUUCUUUCGACUCAAUUAUCAAACUUAAAUUUUGCCCUAGCUUCUGGCUUUAUCUAUCAAUUCCAAAAGAGAAUCUAAAAACGUACCCUUGUUAAAUUUUGCUUCCCUUUCCUUUUCUGCCUGCUUUGUCCACAUUGAUCUAACAGAUACAACUAUCUUCUACCAUGAAAUCGAUAUGCUGUCAUGGAUGAUGUAAUAUAACAUUUUGGAACAAUUUCGAACACCUAAAGCUAGCUAGAAGUUCAGAAAAAUGCUUCUAAGCUAUCGAUUAAGUUCAACAUUUAGCUAGUUUCUUUAACCCUAAUCUAGAAGUUCAGAAAUAAGUUAGGAGAAUCAAACCUAAAUCUUUUGUUGUUAAUACUUGAACAAGUAAAGCACGUAUUCCAUUAAUUGGAGACGAUUGAUUUGCAUAAAACCACGUACUUAAUUAUACGUAUAAUACAUGUAUUGAAUCUUUGGAACAUAUAUAGUAUCUCACCGAUUCAAUAUACUUCCCUAAGAAAUGGUAGGGCAGGAGUCGAUUUGCCUUUUCUUGAUCACAAUUGAGACAAAACAUGACAAUCGAUCACUUUAAUUUAUUUCUGUGCUGGUCAAAAAUGGGAACCCCGUUAAUCUUUUUGGUAAUCAUCAACAACUUCAUGGAAGCACCAUUAUAUUCAUGAUUUUCACAAUUAAAUUUCGACCUACCACACCCAUCUACCACCUCUUGAUUUUCAAUGGUGUAUGUUCAAUUCCGAUGUCCAAUCCCAAUGGCUGGCGGUAGUGCUUUUCACUUCGUUCAUCGUUAAUCAAUGAGUUUCUUGUUUACUUUCUUAUCAGAGUCAUAGCUAUGUCAAUGACUUCCUUCGAUCACUUGAAAAGAUUUAAAAAACAAAAAACAAAAAGAUUUGUUUCUUUCGCACACUGUGAUGAUCGACAGGAAAUCACAAGGUACCAGACGUGUCGCACAGGCAACGGUGUUAGAGAAUGUUGUAUUAGUUUUGCAACGCUAGGUUUAUACUUUAAACUUUACUUAUAUGUGCCUUCAAAAGUAUCAAAGUGCAAAAUAAAAGAUUUAAAGAGAAAAGUUGAAUCAACGAGUACUCAAAUAAUAUUGCUUUUAUGGUUGGUUGAUGAAGAUGUUGGAGCUGGACUGCUGGAGACUUGGAUCUAGCAAAGCUAACAUCAUAGGGAAAAUGAUUAGUACGUGAAACCUGUGUACCCUAAUACUAAUCAUGUAACACAUGCUUUGAGUACCGGUAAAUAUUGAGUCUUCUACGUACCACAUCGAUUUGGGCAUGUUAUUUCCUGUUUUUCAUCUUUUUAUGUUUUAUAAUAAUUUCUCGUCAUUUUGAUAAUCCAAUUACGAAUUGACAAAUUAUAUGUAUGUUCGUAUUAUGGUAGAGAAAACUUUUCUACUUUAAUUUUCUGCUGAUAUCCUCAUUGGAUGAGUAAGUAAAUAGGAAUCAAGAACUAAGGAUAUAGUAAGAAUAAUUUCUAUUUUUGUAACAGAAUUACAGAACACAAAGAAUCAUUUCCAUAACAAAAUUAGCCGAGUCAAAUAUAUAAGUAUUUUGCUUUUCUCGUUUUAAUUAAUUGAAAACAAUAUUAACAAAAGAAGAAAUUAAUCAAUUGUCUGCUUCAACUUGUAGUGCUCCAUCACUACAGAUCGAUCGCCUAACCAAAUAACCAACAACUAGCUAGCAAGGGUUCAUCAUCAACAACUAGCUAGUCAACCAUUCUAAUUCUAUUUCGUGCGUGCAUGCGUGCGUUGGACUUACCUGGAGAGAAGUGGAGGCAUACGAUGCACCCAUGCAUGUUCCAUAAAUGGUCAUGUUCUUCUUCGUCACCGAUCACGACCCUUAUUUUAGCUAGAGAAAUCGAUAUGGCGGCAGAGAUCUAAGAAUUAAGAACAACAAUCUGGAUCUGCCUGCUACACUUUCUACGUUGAUUCUUACUCAAUAUAGAUAGAUAUCCUUCUUACCAGAACAGGAAACUCAACCACUUCUAUAAUUUUAAGAACAAACAAGUGAAAAUAUAGUCUGUAUGUGGAUAAUUUUAUUUAGUUAGCACAUCUGGACGACUUUGAUUUAAUUUUAUUAAGCAUUUGAUGGCCUGCUUGAAAAAGUAGUCUCAACACGCCUCUGCAUGUGUGGUGAAUUUUCAAGUCUAACACGUGGACAACAUUUGGGGUGACGUGGAGUUGGUGUGUCCGUUCCGAGAAAUUUUUCAAUGCUCCCGAAGGACCACGUGACAAUCUAACGUGGUCCUCCAUUGCCAAUUAAUUUUUGACACGUGGAUUUAUUACAACUAAAAUAUAAACUAAGGUUUUCUAUAUUUUGUGAAAUGAUCGUCUUGGGUUUUUUAUGAGUUCGGCCUAGGGUUUAGGGGUUAGGGUUUAGGGUAUAGGGUUUAGGAUUUAGGGUUUAAAAUAUCAACAAGAAACCCAAAAUGGUCUUUGAAAAAAUCACGAAAAUUGUUUUUCAUCAUGAAAAUUUACAUGUCAAAAUUUAAAUUUGACACGUGGAUUUAUUACAACUAAAAUAUAAACUAAGGUUUUCUAUAUUUUGUGAAAUGAUCGUCUUGGGUUUUUUAUGAGUUCGGCCUAGGGUUUAGGGGUUAGGGGUUAGGGGUUAUGGUUAAGGGUAUAGGGUUUAGGAUUUAGGGUUUAGGGGUUAGAAUUUAAAAUAUUAACAAGAAACUCAAAAUGGUCUUUGACAAAAUCACGAAAAUUGUUUUUCAUCAUGAAAAUUUACAUGUCAAAAUUUAAAUGGAAUUGAGGACCACGUUAGACUGCCACAUGGUCAUUCGGGAGCACUAAAAAAUUCCUCUGGCCGUUACACAUUCACACGUGGACAUGAGUAACCCACUCUAAUAUUAUGGUAAAAUAGUCUGGAGUUCACAUCCAAAACAAAUUGGUAAUGGGUGGAGUGACCCAAACCCUUAUAAACCCACAUAUUUGGAUUGAUAUCUCAACACGCCCCCUCACAUGUGGUGAAAUUUCAAGCCUAACACAUGGACACCAUUUGGGUGACGUGGAGUGUGUGUGACCAUUAGGCUUCACACAUGGAAUGGGUAACCUGCUUUGAUAAAGUAGUCUGAGAUUCAUAUCCAAAACCAAUUGACAAUGGAUAAAGAGACCCAAACCCUUAUAAACCCACAUAUAAGGUCCUAUAUUCCCGAUGUGAGAUUAAUAUCUCAACAUUGGUAUGCCAAUAUGUCAUCGAUGAAUAUACAUACUGGCAUUGCUAAACAAUAUGGAGAAAUGCAUAAUUACAACUUGAGAUAUGUUAAAAAGUCGAUUACAUAUAUCUGUAUCAAAGUUGACGAAAUUAAUCAAUUUUAAUCAAAUCGAUUGAAAAUCUGAAAGUGAUCGAUGCACGCAGACGACAAACUUCCAUGGCCUCCACAUGAGAUGACGAGUAUUUUGGCUGAUAAUGGAGAUUAUUAAACUAAAUCUAGCAUAAUUGUCCACGACAAUUUGGUUUAUUAAUUAGUUAUAUAAAUCUCUACUUGAGUCGUUCGAUUCUUAUAAUAAGCUAGAUCUUAUUAUGGAUGGAUAAGUUCUUAUAUAAUAUAUAAUUGUUGAAUUUGAACCUUUGCACCACAUUAAAAUGAUGAUCUGCAUUCUUUGAUAGAUAAAUAAUCCGAAGUUAUUUUCAUGCAAGUACAAGAAGUUUGAAGAUUCCAGAGGUUUUUGGUAGAGACAUAUCUAACUUCACUGUUUUUAGAAUCUAGGAUAAUCACAUACACAAAACACCAAUUCAUUCCAGUGUAUUGAACCAAAUGACUAAACCAAGUCUGAUAGAUAAUACCGAAGUACUAUUGCUCGGAUGGGCGAGCAGUACUAUUUCUCCAACUCGAUCAUUCUUGUCAUUUCCGUUCAAUUACAUCGAUAGCUUUGGAAACCCUAGCAAAACACAGAAUGAAUAUUUUUUUUUCUAUUAAAAAAUAAUUCUUUGCAUUAUUUUCUGAGAUACUUUUGACAGUCGAUUUUGACUCAUCUAUUCACAAUUAUAUAUAUUAUAAAAAAAAAAUCUGAAUUAUAUAUAGAUGCAUAAGUUCAUCAUAUUGUACUUUGCUUGGACGAGGACAGCACUCUGUUAUAUUGCAUAUAUCCCAAGUUAAUUAUCCUACUCAUCAACGAAAUUAUACUUCUCUAUAUUGUUCUUAGAGCAGUCGUAAAUGGAGUCGCAGGCAUGUUUUCCCAAAUGUAUAGUCACGAGUCACGACUGUUCUUUCUCCUAGUUUUAAACUUAACUGUUUCACCUCAUGGAUUCAACUCAUUCAAGUAAUUGAUAAUUUGACAUAAAUAAAGUUAUAUAUACACAAUUGUCUUCCCGUAUAUAGCUAGUUUCUUGAAAUUUCCAAUAUGUGACUAUAGCAUUGAGACGUUUAACCCAUCGCUCUCUCUAGCAGUUGCUUGGCCUUUGUAGACAUGUCUCUACAUGCAGGUGCGUUGGUUUGUUCUUGCAUUUUUUUUGUUUUCUCUUAUAUAUUCUAACAUUUCAUCUUGGUAAAUUUUUUAAUCGCAGCGGGUAUGCAUGUUUGGUUCCCUUUCUAUGUAGUGAAAGACUGAAAGCAAUGGAUUUCAGACUUCAAUGUAGAGCAGACAUGGAUCUCUUUCCUAAACAAGAGUUUAGAAAAAUAAUGGAAAAAAAAAUACAAGAGGAAGUACUUUUCUACUAUACUAUUUUUUUUAAAACUUUUUAUUAAUAACUCACACACCUUACAUAUAUCAGUGAGAUUUGAACCCAUGACCUCAAAGUUGUCAAUUUAACAUCUUAACCAACCAAGCCACGGCUCACCGACAACUUUUCUACUAUACAUGUGUGUAUAACAUAUAUCAAGCCGUGAGCCGUAUGAUCGUCUUGAAUUUUAAAUUGCUAAAUGAUCGGACAACUCACAGCUUGAUGUAUGUCAUACAAAUGUGUAUAACAGCCAAACCCCAAGAGCAAACUUUGUAAUCUUGCCCAUUUGUUCUGCGUCCAUAGGCCUUUUCACUAGUAGUUAUUGACAAAGUCACAAAACCAUAGUUGGUGUAUUUUUUUUUUUCAAUCAAAAACGUAAAAGGUGAAUGUAGUGAUAAACUUUUGUAUCUUACAUUUAUCAUAUGGUUUCACAGCACUUUCAUCAUUUCGUGCAAAUUCGAUAGAAAUUAUAAACUCUACGUACAUAUGAGCGUAGAAAAUAAAGUUACAAUUCAUUUAAAAUUUGCAUUAAACAUUGUCGCAUUUUCUAUCGAACAUGCAAAACAAUUGUCGAUAACAAAGCUACAAAUGCAUCUACACAUGUUUUUUCUUUUAUUAAAUCCCUCAAUUCACCCCUCUUAUAUAUAUUAAGUGAUAUUUGAACUCAUAAUAUCUGUUAAGCUAGCUAACCAACAGAUUACGACUCACCAAAAACUCUUAAGUAGUCUACUAGUCUUACGACACGAAACUUCCUUUUGGCCCUAAAAUGGUUAUGUCACCCCCGUCCUCCGUUACAACAACCUUAGCCCAUAGAAAGCCUCAUUAAUCAUGCAAACCUUACGUCACCUCCAUCCUACACUCACACAAUUACCUCCUUUGCCACCCCGACUUUCAACUCUCAAUUGUUUAUUGGACGGCCAAGGGCAUUCGGCGAUGCAGACAAAAGUUCACAAAACUCUAAAUCAUAGGGUCAAAACAGUAAAAACACCAGCAAAAGACCUCUAUAUAUUAGAGUAUUAGACACCCGGGUCCGAUAUCGAAACCAACCGUAAAAAGCCAUGUCUAUGUUGGCACCGAGCUCAGACGUAUAGCCGAGCCCGAACCAAACUAUAAGAUCCCCCGUAUUAUUAUAUAUAUAGCAAAAUUAAAAUAUUUCAAGGACUCUCUAGGAGAGACCAAGCACCUUAUUUAUAGCGAUCUCUUUUUUUUGAUACGUAUUUAUAGCGAUCUCUGGGGGCUUUAAACCCCAGUGGAGGCACAGCUAGCCCUCUCUUGUUUCUCUAAACUCAAAGGCUAGCUAGAAACAACAAUCCCAAGAGACAAAAACCAAGUUUGCAAUGGCGUUCAGUGGUGUUUCAAUGUGCGGCCAAGAACAGCUGGACUUGUCUAGAGACGGCAGCCACUACAGCCUCUCCACCGGAAUACUGCCCUCUCUCGGCGCUAGGUCUAGUAACCGGAGAGUCAAGCUCGGCCGGUUUAUAGUCUCGCCGUACGACCGGCGUUACAGGUACGCCUUUGUUUUCAAUCCGAACACUUACGUCGAGAAAGGAAUCCAUUUAUAUUUGGUUUGUUAUUAAGUAUUUUUCUAUGUAGUAAUAUAUUUCAAGGUUGGCUGCAUAAUUGGUUUGACUACACUAGUUUACUGGGAUUAAUUUUUAAUGGUUUCCUCUUCUUCUGGGUUUGUGUUUUCGGAGAAGAACGGCAUUGAAAACUCGGUGACCGUUUUGCAUGCUUUCGUGGUUAUACUGAAAGCGUUACAACUGGUGUUUCGUUUUUCUGUGGUCAUAUUUGUCUUCUUCUUUUCGUUUUGUUGGAGUUACAGUCUCUUUGUUACUCUGCGUUCUUGUUGAUUCUUCUUCCAUUGUUAUCGUUUUCCGGCGAGGAAAGACGACGUUGAAUCUUGAGGGUUGCCUUUUUCAGUGAUCAAAAUUCAAAAGGAUUCAUUUGUUUCUGCUUUUGCCUUUUGCAGAUUUUAAUUUAUUUUUCUUUAAAGGUGUACGUGUUAAUGCUCUGUGAUAAACGUACGUGGUGCUUAAUAAAAAGCAUUUCACUGUAAAAUUCUAGGGGUCAAAAGUUUCAUUCUUGCAUUUCUUUGGAUUCAGGGUUUGCUUUUCAUAUGAGAUUCCAGGUCUGUGACUGCUAUUCCAAACUGAAACUGACAUAUCGAAUUUGGCACUUAUAUGACAUUCUGAUUUCUUGUUUGGCUUCGAAAUAAAAGAAAAGGGUUUUUCAAGUCAGAGGUGGAGGCCUCAAAUCACUCUUUUUGACUUGAAUGGAAAGCAAUCAGCUCGGUUUCAUUUGUUGAUUUCUUGGCAAAUUCUGAAUUAGAUGCAAAAGGAAACGAAGUCAAGUUUCGUUUCGGCUUGUCAGCGAACCAUGACAUGAUGAUUUGAAUUCUGCAUUAGUUAACACCUGUACCUAUGUUCUGUGAGUAAAAUGGAAGUCUCUUAUUGCUAAAAUCGGCUCAGAUUGAAUUGUUUCUUGCAGGAUUUGGGAGACAUUUCUUGUUGUUCUGGUCAUCUACACUGCUUGGGUCUCCCCCUUCGAAUUUGGCUUUCUUAAGAAACCACAAGGACCCCUCGCCAUUAUUGACAACAUUGUCAAUGGCUUCUUUGCUAUAGAUAUUGUUCUUACAUUCUUUGUGGCUUACCUGGAUAAGGCUACAUAUCUACUUGUUGACGAUCAAAAGCAGAUUGCUUGGAAGUACGCAAGUACUUGGUUGAUCUUUGAUGUCAUUUCCACAAUUCCUUCUGAACUUGCUAGGAAGAUCUCCCCUAAACCUUUCAGGUCUUAUGGCUUUUUCAACAUGCUCCGGCUUUGGCGUCUUAGAAGAGUUAGUGCUCUAUUUUCCAGGUACAGGGUUUUCUUAAAUGUAUCUGCGGAUUGGAAAGUGCAUAUUUCCUGUGUACUAAUUGUGCAUGAUUCUGUUUUAACAGAUUGGAGAAAGAUAGGAACUAUAACUACUUUUGGGUUCGUUGUGCAAAGCUUAUUUGUGUAAGUAAUUCUGAUGGUUUUGGGGUUGUUAUACUGAAGAAAUUGCAAUUCUUAUGCAGUGCCAUCUUAAUGGGAUUCGGAUGAUCUUUCUGUAGGUCACCCUUUUUGCGGUUCACAGUGCUGGAUGCUUCUAUUACCUUCUUGCAGCGCGUUACCGCGACCCCAGUAACACCUGGAUUGGAAAAUCAAUGGAAGACUUUCUUCAUCAAAGUAUAUGGAUUCGAUACGUGACUUCAGUUUAUUGGUCUAUCACUACACUCACAACAGUUGGCUAUGGAGAUUUGCAUCCUGUCAAUACAAGGGAGAUGAUCUUUGACAUAUUCUACAUGCUUUUCAACCUUGGAUUGACAUCAUACUUGAUUGGAAAUAUGACCAACUUGGUUGUCCAUGGGACUAGUCGAACACGAAAAUUUGUUAGUAAACUCAAUUGCUUUCUUUUUAGAUUUGGUAGAAGAAAAUAAACAAAAUGUGAACUCACAGUUCAUCAUUUUUUCACAGAGGGAUACCAUACAAGCUGCCUCCAGUUUUGCACAGAGGAACCAACUGCCUGUUCGCCUGCAGGAUCAAAUGCUUGCUCAUUUGUGUCUGAAGUUCAGGACAGAUGCAGAGGGACUCCAGCAACAAGAGACUCUUGAUUCACUUCCUAAAGCCAUCCGCUCAAGUAUCUCACAUUAUCUGUUUUACUCUCUUGUCGAUAAGGUGUACUUGUUUCGUGGGGUUUCAAAUGACUUGCUUUUUCAGUUGGUAAGUUCAAACCGUUCUACAAAUUUCCAUUGAAUGCCCGUCUUACAGUGAACUUUUUAAUAUGUUCUGUUAGAUGUUCAGCUGAUUCUUCUUUUUUCCCUUCUCAAUCCAAAGGUCUCAGAGAUGAAAGCCGAGUACUUUCCUCCCAAAGAAGACAUAAUAUUGCAGAAUGAAGCACCUACAGAUUUCUACAUACUUGUAACUGGUGCUGCGGUAAUAAUUGAUCUUUUGUUUUCCUUUCAAUUUCACAGGCAUUAUUCGCUUUCCUGCUCAUUCUAUUAUAGUUUACUUUCUGAAUAAUGUACUUAUUGUUUGAAUUUCUUAACAGGAUUUAGUGGUACUCAAGAAUGGAGCUGAACAGGUAAACUCCAAUCUGAUCAUGAUGAACAUGUUUCUACCUUUUAAUAGAUUUGGCUUCCUUGAUGGUGAGGAGUCUGACUUUCUAUUUUAACUAAUUGCAGGUCAUUGGUGAGGCAAAAACUGGUGAUCUCAUUGGUGAAAUUGGGGUACUUUGUUAUAGGCCACAGCUCUUUACAGUAAGGACCAAAAGAUUGAGUCAGCUACUCCGGCUCAACAGAACCAAAUUUUUAAGCAUAGUGCAAGCUAAUGUUGGAGAUGGAACUAUAAUAAUGAAUAACCUCCUCGAGGUUUGUUAACAUGAUAUAACCUCUUAAAAUUUCCUUGGUUUAUAUUUUGAAAGGAUUUUGACAUGCUACACUUUCUCAAUGGGGCAGCGUUUGAAAGAGACGUCCAAGGAUCCAUAUAUGGAGGGAGUUUUGUUGGAGACUGAGAACAUGCUAGCUCGUGGUAGAUUGGAUCUACCUCUCAGUCUAUGCUUUGCAGCAAUGAGAGGAGAUGACUUGCUGUUGCAUCAGUUGUUGAGACGGGGUUUGGAUCCGAAUGAAUCCGACAACAAUGGAAGAACAGCUCUGGUAUGUGAAAUCUUCUGCUACUGAUUUUACUUUUUCUUACUACGCAAUAUUCUGAAUAUGAUUUUCUAACAUUAGCUUUCACAUUUACUGUGUAAAACCAGCAUAUAGCUGCAUCCCAAGGAAGUGAGAACUGUGUGCUUCUACUAUUGGACUAUGGAGCACUUCCUAACAGUAGAGGUAAGACCAAGGGCUAUUAUAGUUAAGUUAAACCAUCAUUAUUGACUUCAUCAGUAAGAAGGUUGAUCAUAUUAUAUGCAUUUGGUUUAAUAAAUUCAUAUAUUAAACACAAGAGAUGUUAUCAAUUUAGAGAACUUUGCCUUGUAGUGAACUAGUCCAGUUUGUGGACUUGGGAUGUUGCUUGCAUCAGUUGCAUGGUUUUUUUUUUUAAGAGUCCAAUAAGAUACAUAAUUUAAAACUAUUUCAUUGGUAUGAAAUUCCAGAACAGAUUCAGUUUUUCUUAGUCAUGUUGCAGGCUUGCAGCUGUGAUUAUUCAUACAUUUCUUUUAGUGCAUUUUCUUAUUGUGUGUGGGAUCCAAGUCCCAAGUGUUGACCAUUGGGAAUUGGCCUAACUUGAUUACCUGAUUUUGUUCCCUUCUCAUACAUGACUCUAGUUUUUCUUUCCCUUAAGAGUAAGUUAGCAUAUCAUGUCUGUUGAGUGUUGACUUUCCUAAUCAGACUACCAACUAUAUCACUCAAUUAUUUGCUUCAUUAUGUUAAUUUUAUUAUAGUAUACUAGAUCAUAGUCGUCAUCAUCAUAUAUGUUAGAAAAACCAGUUGACUUGAUAACAUGAUCCAAAAACAGCUUCUUCAUGCCUUUUAAUACACAUGAGUGCGCGGGAGGCAUGCAUCUGUGCCUCACUUCUUGCUUGGUUAGUAAUAUAAAGCCUGUUUGAGUCUCCUGGGGAUCUGGCAUGGUUAUCUCAUCCCAGUUUAUUUAGUAUUAUCUUAAGAUGGAAUCCCCCGUCCUCUAUAUUUUAUCACAACAUGCAAGCAAGAUUGCAAGGAUGAAAGAUACAUCUUCAUAGGGAAAGCUUUCAUGUUACUUCUUGAUUGUGAUUCAAUCUCGUGGUUGUGCAAAUAGAUCUUUGUGUAAGAACUAAGCUUUGUGACAUGAUUUUCCUACACUGCCGACUUAUAAGUUGUUAAUUCGUAUUGUUUAGGGUGAAAUAAGUCGAUGCAUAAUGCCUUCUGUUGUUGAAAGAGUUGCUUAUCUAUGUUGACCACAUGAAAUCGAUUGCAAUGCUAACAUGAACUGAUGAACAUGUAAUGUUUCCACUUGCUGGAGAUUGAACAAAGAACUUAACUGUGUUCUAUGAUUUACAGACUCGGAGGGAAAUGUACCACUGUGGGAGGCGAUACAGAAGGAUCAUGAAACGAUUGCGAAAUUGCUCGUAGACAAUGGUGCAACUUUGAAUGCUGGGGAUGUUGGUCAUUUCGCUUGCAUUGCUACUGAGGAAAACAGGUUGGACUUGCUCAAAGAAAUAGUUCGACAUGGAGGUGAUGUCACAACUCCUAGAGGCAAUGGAACCACGGCUCUCCAUGUCGCAGUGUCCGAAGACAACAUUGAAAUUGUGAAAUUCCUUGUGGAAAAGGGGGCUGAUAUCGACAAGCCAGACCUCCAUGGCUGGACUGCAAGAACUCUAGCUGACCAGCAAGGACAUGAAGAGAUAAAAAGCCUUUUUCAAUCGAGAAAAGAGACCAAAGAUCAAUCUGUUAUAAGCAUUCCUACUGAGCAAAAGACUGGAAUUCGCUUCCUUGGGAGAUUUACAAGUGAGCCAAACAUCCAUCCUGCCUCCCAGGAAGGCUCAUUUAUAGUACCAGAUGGGGGAUCAUUGGGUCGAAGCCGCCCAAGGCGUAGGACUAACAACUUUCAUAACUCACUUUUCGGGAUGAUGUCAGCUGCACACACAGGGGAGAAGGAUUUGUUCUUCUCUGUCAGGAAAACCACCGAAACCACUCCUAAGGGUACUGGGAAUAAUCCUAACCCUGCUAGAGUGACAAUUAGUUGCCCUGAAAAGGGUGAAGUUUCAGGGAAACUUGUAUUACUUCCUGACAGUUUUGAGGAGUUACUGGAGGUUGGUGCCAAGAAAUUUGGUCUCACUCCGGCUAAAGUUCUGUGCAAAGAUGGAGGAGCUGAAAUCGACGAUAUAGAGGUGAUUAGAGACGGUGAUCAUCUUAUUUUUGUCAGUGGCCAAGAUGAAUCAGAACCUCAAGAAUGUAAUGGAGAAGAUACUCCAACUAAAAAAGAUGUGUAGUACAUGCAUAGGAAGUCCAUAUUUGAAUCUCUCUUCCUACGCUUGGAUGUGCAAAAACCAUUCUUACAGCAAAUGUACGUAGUUUUGUCCCAAGAGAAAACUUCUUGGCGACAAUCACCCCAGUAAAGUCGUUGUACUAAUCUGAACUCUUUACCGACAACAUAUUCCACGACGGUUGUUUUAGAGGUGUCAUGGUCAGCCCAAAUGUACCAUUGCCACGGGCUUGGCAACACUGCUCAACUGAAGUUGUGUAAAGUGUAAAUAUCUCCAACUUUGUUCCUGCUACGAAAUUACAUUUCAGAUGAUACACUAUAAUGUACAACUAUGUAAAAAUUAAAGCAGUAGAACGAGCUACGCCUCAAAAUUGUACAACUAGUUUGAGGCUUGAAUAUCAUUUUCCAGAUUUUGACGAGACCAACACAAUUUACAGCCUUGCGGUUACUAUAGGACACUUCUCUCCCAAAAACGUCAUUUAUGACCACUGUUGGUCAGUUUCCUAGAGCAGGAUGACAUUUUAAUGAAUACAAGUGAGACUAUCCUUUCCCUUGUAUGCUCCUUUAUAAUGUUUUUUUUUUUUGGAGAGAUGUUCCUUUAUAAUGUUACUCUUACCAAGCAUAAGUAUACAUCAGGGAUGUCAAAUUCUGAUACAUUAAACACUCGAAAGGCAAUUUGAAACUCCUCGUCUAUCACUACAGUAACUUGAGCAUUUUCAGACGCUCUUCAUGUUCAGGAUCCAACUUUGGUGGGGUAUAACAACCAUGAAGAUCCUCCACUACGUACUCCUGCAAAACGUUGAAAUUAUAAGAACUCUUCGUUUUCUGAAUGAUACAUUAUCCAAAAUAGUUUUCAGAUUAUAAGAAUAUACUUCUAAGUUCAUGGAAAACUAAUCACUGUGUGCAACUAACCUUUGUGAGUUCCUUUUUGGUCAGGAUAUGGUAAUGUCUCUGCCAGAUUCUCUGAAUAGCCAUAGUAGCAGCCAGGAAACCAUAAGCUAUGCCAAGAAUAGCAAAGAUGACAACAAAAACAAUAACCAGGGCAAAGCAUGCCUCCAUAGACGCAGGGAAACAAUCCAAUAUUCCCCAUCCAUAACAACAGUUCUGGCAGCCAGCCAUCCGUGGGUCAUUGCUAUUGAAAGAUGAACAGUGUACUAUAAGCCCAAAAAAUCCAAGCAGCACAAAAAAGGCAAUGACACCUGGUAACAAGUGCAUAAAGCAGCAAUUCAGUACAAGUCAAUAGCUGCAAGAGAUUAAGAACAAAUGCAAAAUCAUAACCCUUCUCAUACAAAACUACUAGAAACAGAACCUUGACACUGCUGAUGAGUAAUACAGCUGACAAUUAGCUUCCACAGAUUCGAGUAUUAAUAAGGAUGAAAUGCAAAAGGAAGAGAAGUGCUUGUGCAUGAGAGGGUUUGCCAUAAGCAUUAGGUGGCAGUAGCACAAAGAAUCAUGGACAUUAAGGUCUUGAGAACACAGUUAUUGUUAAUAGUACUCAGCAAUAUCCAAAAUAUUACUUCAAACACAGGGGUUGUUGUAUGCGUAUGGAAAGAAACUAAUAUCAUGAUUGUUUCUUGUCAGAAACCCCUACUUCCCCUCAAGAUCUACCAGUCUGCCACUUAUGAUGCAGAAUAUGAAGUAUAACAAUUUCCUUUAAUAUGAUUAUUUCUGAUAAAUAAGCAUUUAGAACAUAAACAACUCAACCCUGAUUGGUUAAUUAGAUACUAGAGACUUGUGAGCUCCACAUUAUUGACACAUUUCAAUGAAGCAAGGAAAACUACACCACAUUAUUUUUAAACAACAGUUUUUAGGUGUAAGAGUUUACCUAUGCAAUAGUAAAAUGGUAUAGGGUGCUUUGACAAGAUACGAUCCCAACCAUCACUGAACGAAUUCCUGAAGCCACCAUCUUUGUCCAUCAGAUAUGCAAAGCCACCAAUUGCGGCAAUUACCUGGAAAGUAAAGAAGAAUGCUUAUCGUAAGAAUCUUGACAGUAUAUGGAAGUAAUAGAUUGAUACAAUCCAGUAUAAACCAUUUCAUGUAACAUAAUGCAAAAGACUAUCACUUACUGUUUGUACAGCCACAAAUACAAGUAUAACAUCCCUUGCCACAAAAAUUCUGAAUUUCAUUUUACGCCAAGUGUUGUCCUCAUACGAUUCAACUCGAAGAUGAAAUUGGGCUUUGCAAGUGGUGCAGUGCGAGAAAGCAAAUCCUUCCUAGAAAGAGAAAAGGCGAAGUUCCGGGGGAAUUAAGUUCAGGCAAUUACAACAUUGAAUUGCCAGUGACAAAAGAGUCACAAAAUGACAUACUCUAAAGAGAAAGGUUAUUUACCUUAACCGAGCGCCAGUGAUCAAGACAGGAUAUGUGCACAAACUGCUGGGUGCCUUUGCACAAGCACGGCGAUAUCAACUCAUCACCUGUAAAAUUACAAAGGUCGAAAGUAAGCAAUAAAACCUUUGCAUCUGCCUACGAAGCAACGAGUGCUAGAGAUACACAUAACCAUUAACCACAGUAUACAUGAAACUUCUAUUCAACCCUGAAUUCAGCUAAACUUAAUACCUACAAAGAAUCUUAUAUCCAACAAACAUAUAAAACAUAACCAGAAUCACACUCAUUUCUGCCCUUAUAUCUUCGGAUACAACACGAUGUAAUGUUUCACCAACAAAACAAACACAAUAACAGCAUGAUCAGACCAAAAUGCCACAUCUUUAAAACCCGAAAAAUUCAACCUGCAUCGGAAUCGCUUUCGAGGCAAAUGCGACAACAAGCAACAGAGGAGCCAUUCUCAAUGUCUUCAUUUCUAAUCUCACUGGAGCUCGCCGGAGCCGACGACUCGUCGUCGUCGUCGUGGCUGCUCUGUAGCAGAGGGUCCAAGUCACUAGGAUCAUUCGGUUCCCGUUCCCCUACUACUACUGGUUCCAGCUGCACUUCCCGAUUCAUUGAUCAAACCCUAAAAUAAACCCCCAAAAUCACCGAUCAAAAACCUUCAAAUUAUACAGAAAUUUCUCACAGAACAAAAUUGAAUUUGAAAAUUGAAUGAUCAAUUAAACUUGAUUUUUGUUUUAAUUUCAGAAAUUAAAAAAAGUAGUACCUGGAGUUGUGCAGAGAAACGAUGAAUGGAGAAAAUCGGAGACAGGAGAAUUGAGGAAGACGAAGAUUGAGAAAAGAGCGAUACUUCCUAUACGACGUGCCGUCCGCGCCUUUGUUAAUCAUUGGCAUAUUUUACUAUAUUGGGCAAGUAGGAUGGGCCUUAUUGUUGGAGGAUGUUGGGCCUCUCGACCCAACUCGGUCUCCUGGUAUCCCGCCAAAACUCCUACUCGAGUCAGGAAAACGACGUCUUAAGCUCAGAAUGGCCUCCAAUCCAUAAAACGAAGUUUCUCAUAGCUAUGGCCAAACCAGCUCAGUAUGCCACGUCGUUUAUAACACGUCACUAAUUAAUGAUUUCUCUAAUCGUGAUCUUGAGCAUUCUUAAUUUAGAUCGGUCACAUUCAUGAAUUACAUUCUUAAUUUAGUUUCUUACUCGAGUCAUAAUUAGUCUACCUGAAUUUGUAUCGUAAAUCUUAUCUGAAUCUAUAUCCUACAAUUUAUUCUUUAUGAUUUACUUAUGAUUCUAUGUCCUUUUCUAUAUUCUAUAUCCUAUUUAUAUAUAUUCUUUUUGAAAUUUUUGAGAAGAGAAGCUUGUCGAGGGAGAUUUCUUGAGUUGAUUGCAAGCUUAAUUAAACGAUAAUAAUAUACAGAAAAGGUUCGUUGGAUUCAAUGAAAGGUGGUGAUAUCCCAAAAGAAUUGUUAGUUGAAAUCCUUUGUCGACUGCCGAGCGCUGAAGCUGCUUGUCAAUGUAAGCUUGUUUCAAAGAGUUGGUGCACUCUCAUAUCGAAGCCUUACUUCAUUGGACGCUUUCUGUGGAUCCAAAGAGCGAGAAAAGCAAACCGCAGUGCUUGGUACUAUAAUAAACGAAUUUGGGGAUGCACUCCUUGCCACAGAACUGACAGAAGUAGUGUUCAGUGUUCACGGCCCAGGAGGCCAGGAGGGUGUGGUUUUCAAGUUUUGACAUGUUUUCCAAUAUAGGGUAGCAUAUAUAUUGAGCUCAAUAUGAUUCAAAAUAACGCUAAAACAGUGUUUUGUAUCUGCUUUUUUAUUCAUUACAGAUUGAGAAUUUAGCAUUUGAUGAAAUGAUUCCUGGCAUAUGUCUCUGCCAUCUACUCAUGCAUGCCCUUCUCCUAGUUCUAUUUCAAUUACACAUCUGCAGCUGCCCUCUAGCAUUACAGAAAUCCUCAGAUGGUUCCAGUAUUCACAAGCACAAAUUGAAGCAGGGCAAGGACGUGUUGAAUACGGCGGACCAUAUAUACUAGUCUGGGGUGACUCUGGUCCCUUUGCUAUAUGGAAUGCCUCUAAAGUCUAAAGUCAUGGCCUGAGUCUUUGGCCUUUAUGACUGCUUCCUACUACUCACUUUCAACGGACCCAUGCAUGCCUAUAAUUUCUACGUUCCCAGUUCAAUUCCAGACAUGAUUGAUUUCUCUACUGCAACAGCAUGGACGUCGACAUUGACACAGACAUUAUUGGAUAUUAAUUCGUGCCUCAUUUCAAAUCCUGGAAAUAAGCUCAUGAAAAAGCUCGAGCUCUAUAACCUUCCUAUAUAUUUUCCAAGAUGAAUAUAUAAUCUCAACCAUGUGCUGAUCAUCAUACUAAAGAAUAAUAAUCUCUCAACCAACUCGAUUAUGAUAUAUUACGCAAAUUAAUAUCGAAUUUGAAUUAUUUGUUAAUAUUAAAGAGUUUGAACAUCAACGUUUCAUGAGUUUGAAUUCUAUAUAUGAUUACCAAACAUAAGUUGACCAGAAGCUUCCAAGGAGGCUGAGGCAGUAUCCAGGUAACUUCAGUUCGUGAAGGCCUAUGAAAAGUAUAUAUCAUACAACUAGAGUGCACGCAUCUAUUUGUAUACACGAAAAUAUGAAAAUGACAUAAUCUGCUUCUUCGUUGAAGAUAAAAAUUCUCUAUCUGUAGAUUAAUAAACGUACAAGUGCCAAUUCCAAAAGCAUUUCUAGAAUGUGUAAUUACAUAUUACAUUGACAAGAAAAAAAACUAACACAUUUUCACCGCGCGCCAUGGAUCGGCUCCAGCUAGCUGUCUUCUGUUGAUGAAUAUAUGAUACACAGUCCAAACCCAAUAAAUCACACCCUGCAUACAAUACAUAUAUAUGAAAAAAUCGAAUAUUUGAUCAUAUUAGGUGAAACUCAAUGAAGGUGAGGUGAUCAAUCAAUUAAAUUAGCUUACUGUUGGAACUCAAUGUUGACGGAAGUAGCCGAUGAGUUGGCAAUAGCAGCGAAAGCCGUCUGCGACAACACCAUGGUGGUGCCGGCCGCAGAAGGCUGUGAAGUAACGCUGGCAGCAUACUCCACAAUCCUGAUCUGAAUGGUCUUGUCCGGAACACACGUCCCCGUUUGAGCUGCGCUAAUGCAUCUCACCAAGUACUGCCUCCCACAUGACGCUCCGUUGUCCCAUAUUCCAUCUCCGGCCGCCGCAAACAAGUUACUUGACGGAAACUGUGACGAGUCGCUUCCAUAACAGUCGGUGGCUAAAAGGGAACAAUAUUUGUGAUAAGGGUAAUGUCCAUAAGAACAUAAAUGGUUCACAUGAAGAUGGGUAAAGAUGUAACUUACGUAAAUAUGGGGGAGCAUACUGAGCAGCAGUGCCAACGUCGGCGUUUGAUGUUUGGAAAAGCUGUGGAAAUAAGAGCACGAGGAGUAAUGAAAGGUAAGGCAGAUAUUGUGGAUGAGUUGUGAUCAUCUUUUUCUCUGCAGAAAAGGGUGUUUGAGAUUUGGAAGAUAAGCUCUGGGAUGCAAGGAGAUUUUUGUAUUCUAUAUUAUUCCAAGUCAACGAAAAUUGGGUAUCAUUUUUAUCUAGAAUUGACGGCUAGGCCAACUCAUAACGCGGGUUCGGCAGUUAAACGUAAGCCACAUGGUAUGAACUCUAUCUAGAACUCAUCUAACACGUUUACUUUUUGUUUCUGGUGUGUCGUAGACUACUGUAAUAUUCGACUCAUAAUAGACUAAUUGUUACAUAAACGAGUAGACUAUUGUAAUGUUCGACUCACAAUAGACUAAUUGUUACAUAAACGAGUUGGUAUCCGUUACCUAAGCAAGAAAGGUCUGAAAAUCUAGAUCAGAUGAUCUAAUCAAUGAAUUGAUAACCAUUACUUAAGCAGGAAAGGUCUGAAGAUCUAGAUAAGAUGAUCUAAUUCGGUGAGGGGAUUGGAGUAUAGCUACGUCAUGCUUUGCUUCCUAUGAGGGUCACAGUUAUAUAAUUACAAUAUAAACUGCAAAAUUCAAUGAUCCUCCACCGAAUAAAUAUGACUUUUGCAGUUCAUAAUUCAAUGCCUUCUCCAUUCAUGAUCCAACUAACCAGAUCACAUUUGACAUUUUCCAAUGAUUGCGGUAUCCAGAAGUUCACCAGAGGAGGAAAGUGAAUUUGAAGCUUAAUAUGGUGUAGACAUACACAAGUCUAAACACUGAAAUUUGUACCAAAAGGAUCCCAAACAAACAAAGGAGCUUUGGUGCGUUUACAACAGUUAAAAAACGCAGAGUAAAGCAGUAAUAAGCGUCCGCGUAAGAACAUCUCACUUCCACAGCUUGCGCAGGGACAUGUUCUUCUCAGUCUCCUUCUUCAUAACCUUGGCAACUGCCAUCUCAAAGUCUUCUUGGGUUACAUGCACUCUCCUCUCCCUCAGUGCAAACAUUCCUGCUUCAGUACAUACAGCCUGCGAGAAGGAAAACAAGAUAACAUGGUUAGAUCUUAUAUGUCCAGACAAAAUACCAACUUCCUAAUGACUCCCCCAGUAAGAAGAAAACACAACAUUACCUUCAACUCAGCACCAGAUGCGCCAUUCAUUUUCUCGGCAAUCUUCUUCAGGUCUAUUCCACGCAUUAAAUUCAUUCUUCUUGAAUGGAUUUUCAGGAUGUCCCAACGAGACUCUUCGUUAGGGUUGGGAAAUUCAAUUUUCCUGUCUAUGCGUCCUGGCCUCAGCAGGGCUUGAUCCAAAAUAUCAAUACGAUUUGUAGCCAUCAAAACCUGAGAUAUAAUGGUGGUGGUUAGAAUGAAGGAUAAAAUUUAGAAAGGUGAAUGUCAUAAUUUUCGAAAGCCACAUGAUGCAUCGUGUACCUUGAUUUUGUUUGAGGCCUCAAAUCCAUCCAGUUGAUUAAGAAGCUCAAGCAUAGUCCGCUGCACCUCACUGUCACCAUUGCCACUGCCAGAUUCCAUACGAGCAGAUCCAAUACUAUCGAUUUCAUCCAUAAAGAUGAUAGAUGGAGCAUGUUCCCUGUAUGAAUGUAGAAGUAAAAAAGUGAGAAAACGGUAGAUGAUAUAAUGUGAAGAAUGUUAAGGGCUGAAGAGCAGCAAAUUAUUAAUUGAUUAAAGAUCCUAUCCACAAAUCAUCUUAAAGAAAGGUUGUUAUAUUUAUUUUAGAAUGGGUCUGAGUAAAUGGCCAUUCUUGAUUCUUCUUUGUGGGGCAGCAACGGACAUAGACGUAGAGAAACAUCCCUAAUUCUAUCCAGAUCAGCAUAGAUUGAUCAUACUAGGAGUACUAUACAAUACAAAUUGCAAUAGAAAGCUUAUUCAACAAAUUAGAGCCCCAUUAUAAAACUCUAGGAUCUACUGUAGUUCAUUUAAAAAGCAAACAGAAUUCAGAAACCAAGCAGCAUUAUUCACAUGCCAACAAUGCAAACAUAUGGAAGAGUAGGAUGAUUAACAAUAGAUCAACACAAACCUGGCCAUGACGAAAAGUUCUCUAACCAUUCGGGAACCUUCCCCAAUGUAUUUCUGAACCAACUCUGAACCAGAGACCCUGAUGAAAGUACAGUCGGUAUGAUGAGCCACAGCCCUAGCCAACAAGGUUUUUCCAGUGCCGGGGGGACCAUAAAGCAGGACUCCCUGUUGAAUCAAACAAAGAGUGCCAUAGGAUUAGUGACUACGGGUAAGCAAAUAAUAAAAAAAAACCAAUAAAUUGAAAACGUAAUUAUACCUUUGGCUGAGCUAUUCCAAGACUUUCGAACAAUUCAGGAUGUUUAAUUGGAAGUUCAAUGACCUGCAAAAAUGAACAUAUAUCAUUUAGACAAGUUGAAGAAUGUCCUGAGUAUUAUCACAUAGAGACAAGCCACACUCGACAAAUACAGCUAGCAGAGAAUCUAAAUUCAAGCCAAAUUUGAAACACGGACUGACGUUGACCAGUGAAUCUUCUUCCUCAAGAAGGAUACAAUCUUAUCACCUACUAGAAGAGCUCUUAGUUAUCUAAGUAAUGUAACAUCUAUAAGAAGAUAAGUAACAGUUGGAAUAUGAAAACAACUUAAUCCUUCUAAUAACAUAUAAACCAAAAUGCAGUUCAAAGAAAAGAAAAUAAGUCAAAGUUGAACUCUGGAAGAGAGAUGCUGUCAAGAUAUUGAUGCAUAUGGGAUUGUGGAUUAAAUGAAAAGAGGGGGGAGAAGAAUAAGAAAGAUAAAGGCAAAACUGAAAAGGGUAUGCCUGCAAGUUAUGUUUAAUCUGAUCUUUUAUAUUCAUCCAGACAAUUUUUGUAAGAAUGAAGACAUGACAAGUAAUUAGAUAUAUGAGUUUAGCUUAUACCAUGAGACCUAUACAGGUAGAUAACCGGAAAUGAAAGCCAGGUGGCAUAACAGUACAAAAGUAAUACAACAAAAACGCAAACUAAAAUAGACACAAGUAUCGUGCAAAGAAUCUAAAUUCAAGAGUAAGAAUGUGCAGAAGAAAACCUCUUUGAUUUCUUUAAUCUGCUGAUCCAGACCACCAAUCAUAUCAUAUGUAGAAUCUGGAACCUUCUCCACUUUCAUCAGAUUGACAAGAGGAUCAACUUUGCUUGGCAGUACUAAAUGAAGAACAUAGCUGUCAUUGCGGAGAGCCACACGUGUAGAUGGUGUGAUCUUUGUAAUAUCAAUGUUCUUAUCGAUAUCAACCACAUAUUUCCCUUCCGGAUGAACCUGAAAACAAAGCAGGUCAAAAAUUUGUCAGAUGUUGUUAUCGACUUGCAGACAGAAUGUUAACUAUUUCACUGUUUGUUAAAACACACAGCCACUUACCUUAACCAAAACCUUGUUCUUUCCCAUGACGUUGACAACCUCACCGACAUAGGACCCAGGCUCCUGAAGAAGCUGCAGUUCUUCCCUGAGCAUUCUCACUGUUCAAAACACAUAAACAAUCAAUCCAAUAACUCAGUUAAGUAACACACUAACAUACCAAAUUAAGCAAAAUCUAUAUAACCAAAGAUCCCAAAAGGUACAACAUCUUCUAGAAUAAUUCUAGUGCACUUGUUUACUCAUCUUGUUCACCAAGAUUUACACUUUACCCCGAAAUCAAAUAUUUGCCCUAAUUUUAUCCCAACAGAAAGCAGAAGCCAGCACCUUUUCACAUUCAAUCAACAAUUGCUAAGAACCCCAUCAAACUAUAUCAGCUAGCCCUAAACCCAAACCAAACUAAACCUAAAAUUACCCUAAAUUGAGAACCCAGUACCAAUCGGAACAAACCCUAACCAGUCCAAUUGAAAUUCCUAUAACCAAUAACCAGUUACUAGGGUUAGGGAUUCGAAAAAUUGAAUUCCCAAUUGGAAUUAGAGCCUCACCUCUGGAAUUGAGCUCGUUACGCUGAGCCUCGAGUCGAUUGAGAUUGUGGGUCUUCUGGCGGACCUGGAGCUGGAGCUCGUGAAUGUGUUGGAGGUAGUACGGCCGGAGCCCAUCGCCGAGUUUGGAGGCGGCGAGCUUGGACGAGCAGGUCUCCUCCGGCACGGCAUCGAUGGGCUUGGUCUCGGCGGCGACUGCAGCCAUCGUGAUCAAGCAAAGCCCUAAACUUUGGAAUCGGAAUUUGUGAGAUUGGCGAUUUGGGGGUGUGAGGAGUUUGAGAGAAGAGAGAUGUCGUGUGUGUCGUUUUGAGUUGGAAAACAAAGGUGAGGGGAGGUGUGUUUUAUUUAUGGGGGAGGGUUUCUUUUUGGUUAAGUUAGCUUUGUAAGGGUAGGAGAUGGAUUAGAGGAUAAUGGGCACAUAUUAGGAAUUACUGCAAAUUUUAGGAUUUCUGUUCUUUUGUUUAAAUUGAAUUGCUAUUUUCUUAAGGAAGUUGCAAACAUGGAAUCCUUGUUGUGAGAUUAGUUAUUGGGGGGACAAUAAAAAUGAUAAUAUUUCAAAGGAAAAUACUUGUGUCCGGACUAGUAUAUACGUGCGUGUCCGGACUCUCUGUUAUUUACACACUUUUGGUAAUGUAAAUCAUAAUCUUAAGUGUUCAAAAAUUUGAUUAACUAAUAAAUAUCAUCUCUGUAAAAUAUCAGUGUAAAAAAAAUCGUUUGCUUAGCCGAAUGAAUCAAAUAAAUUGACGGCUAAUCAUGAGGCUGUUAACUUUCACCAUAAGUAUUCAUUUGUUUAAUACAAUCGGGUGAGCAAACGAAUUUUGUUUACAUUAAUUUUUCACAGAGAUAAUCUUUAUUGGUUAAUCCAACUUUCGAACUGUUAAAAUUAUGAUUUACAUUGUCGAAAGUAUGUAAAUAACAGAGAAUCCGGAUGUACACGUACAUACUAGUCCACAAGUAUUUUUCUAUUUCAAAUUAGUGACACUCAAGAGACGAGGGAGAUUACUAGUUGACGAGGUUUAAGGUGAUAGUUUCAUGUGUCUCAUCUUAGAUUUCGACUAAGUUUCAUUAUUAUUCUCAAUGUUCACAGCUUUUAAAUUGCAUAUAGCUUUAAUAUGUGAAUCAUACACAUUUUCUAGUGUGUCGAUUGGUGAACAACACUCUUACAGAUUUCAUUAAAGAAUCGUUGCUCAUUUCAUUAUAGAAUAACAUGUAUCACUUCUCUUUGAAUCAUUUCGACUGUCGGCAUAAGUUUCAUUCUUUUUACAUGCUUCACAAUAAUAGUAUGAACAAGUAGACAAUUUAAGAGACCUGAACUGAAGGAGUUUGGGCUGCAUUGGACUACCUAAGAAAGCCCAUUGUUCAAUAGAAGGAAGGCCCAAGAGUGGAGCCUAUAUAAUUGAGAGCAUUGCCAAACAUGGUCUUUGCGCCUAGCCCUCUGUGUGAGUCUGUUCCUCUUUUUAACAUUUUUCUUUUAGAUUUCCAAAUUAGGUUUUCUCCUCUCUCUCUGUAAUUUCUCCUCACUAUUAGAUUUUGAUUCCACCAUUGUUGUUUUGAGGGUUAGGAGGUGUGGAUUUGUGUUUCAAACUCCUUAUUGAUAUUUCGUCUUCCCACCUGUUUCCAAAUACCGCCAAAUUUUUCUAUCUCCGCAUAAAAAAAUCCCCAAAUUGAGAAGAACAAAAGCUUUGAUUUUUAGGGCAAUCUAACACAAUUAGGGUUAGGGUUUCAAUCUCAUAAGUACAGAUCACGAAAAAGAAAGCAUCUUUUUUUAGUUUUUGUUUUUGGGCUUUCGAUUAGAUAUGGAGAAGAAGAAGGUGGCUGUGCCUCUGGUUUGCCACGGCCAUUCCCGGCCGGUGGUGGAUCUGUUUUACAGUCCGGUCACUCCCGAUGGCUUCUUCCUCAUCAGUGCCAGCAAGGGUAUGUGUUCCGAUAUCGAAAGAUUCGAUCUUUUUUCGUGUGUUUGGAUUGAAUUACAUGCUUUGGGUGGUUCUAUUUUACUCUGUACAAUGCUGCGUAUAUGUAUAUGUGUAUGAUUGGGGUUUUGUUUCGUGAUAACUUAUGUAGAUUGGUUUGAAAUCGUAAUGGAGGGAUGUUUUGACUAGUCUUUGUGAUAGUAAGUUAUGGUAGAUUAAGUAAACUUGCAAUGGGAUAUGUUCUUAGGAUAUAUAGUCCAGCUGAAAGGAAAUGUUUUGGAUCAGUGGUUUCAUGUCACGUUUAGAAACCUUAGAGCUACUAGAAGUUGAACAUUUAUUGCACUAUCAGUGUACUCAACAGUAGUGAUUUUGGGAUAUUGACGAAUAAGGUGUAUUGAGUAUAUGAGGUGUUAAGAUCAUUGUUGUGUUGUUGCUCUUUAAUGGGUUGCGAUUGGAAAUCUUCUUUAAUCUGUGUAAGUUAUUUAGAUAGCGAACUGAUAUAGAAGUUUUUGAUGCUUGUGUUGUUAGAUUCUAGUCCCAUGCUGAGAAAUGGUGAGACUGGAGAUUGGAUUGGAACCUUCGAAGGACAUAAGGGUGCAGUCUGGAGCUGCUGUUUGGAUACUAAUGCCCUAAGGGCUGCCACCGCUUCCGCAGAUUUCUCUGCGUAUGGAUUUAUCUUUUGAUUUCCCAGAUUUCUCUGCGAGUUGAAAAUGAAAACCUUAAUUCUGUUUCUUAAGUAUGUUAUUUUUGCAUGCAGUAAAGUUUGGGAUGCGUUAACAGGAGAUGUUCUACACUCUUUUGAACAUAAGCACAUUGUUCGAGCAUGUGCGUUUUCAGAGGUAAGCUCCUGUUCUUGACCUAACAGCUCUGUAGAAGUGAAAUAAACUUACAGAGUAAUCAUACAAACUGUGCUCUUUCCAUUUUCUGUAGUGUUAUCUGCUUGAAAUGUCAUGCUAAAUGUGAUAAUGUUGAAUAUUAUGUGUAAUCGACUGUGUUAAAUUCAUUUGGAGUAGCUAUCUGCCUACCUCUAAUUUGAAAAUGAUUUCCUAGUGGUUUAUGUGCUAUAUUAAGAGGGAUUCUAAUAUAGUGGUAGACUUUGAAUAUUUCUUUGGGGCUUAGUUGUUUGUUACACAUCAGCCACUAAAGUUCAUGAUAAUAUUUUGAAUCCAUCAUAGUUGGUGCAGGUUUUAAUUUCAACAGUAUAUGAGAUUUUAUGCUGGAGUUCUCCUAUAUGCCAUGCCUUUUCUUAUUUUCUUGUAUCAUAAUUCUAUUCUCUUGAUUUGGUAAUAGGAUACACACCUUUUGUUAACUGGAGGAGUAGAGAAAGUUAUCCGUAUAUACGACUUGAACAGACCAGAUGCCCCUCCAAGAGAAGUGGACAAAUCCCCUGGUUCAGUUAGAACUGCUGCAUGGCUCCACAGUGAUCAGACCAUAUUAAGUUCUUGCACUGAUAUGGGCGGUGUCAGGUAUACAUUUAUAUGAAAAUAAUUGAUGUUAUGAGGACUCAAUUGUUCUAUAUUAAGUUGCACAUAUUUCGUACUAUAAAGUGACGGGUAGUGAUUGACUGAUUGGUGAAUGUGCAGAUUGUGGGAUGUAAGAACUGGGAAAAUAGUUCAAACACUUGAUACCAAGUCAUCUGUAACAAGCUCUGAAGUCAGUCAAGAUGGUCGAUACAUCACCACUGCUGAUGGGUCUACAGUCAAGUUCUGGGAUGCAAAUUAGUAAGUUAUGAGUUAGAAUGUUCAGUAUUUUUCAGAGUUUCUGCUCAGUUAGCUUAUGCCUUUUACUUGCUUUCAGCUUUGGGUUGGUGAAGAGCUACAACAUGCCUUGCACAGUAGAAUCAGUGUCCCUGGAACCCAAGUUUGGGAAUAAGUUCAUUGCUGGUGGAGAAGACAUGUGGGUUCAUGUUUUCGAUUUCCAUACUGGUGAUGAGAUCGGUAAGUAAACUAUAACAAAAUACUUUUCUUAUUGAAUCUUCUUUGGGGUGGAUGUUGUGUGUUAAUGUCCUUGGAUUUUAUGCUGUAUUUCCAAUGCUGAAUCUUUACUCAAGCUAUUGUAUCUUGAUGCAGCCUGCAACAAGGGUCACCACGGUCCAGUGCACUGCGUUCGAUUUUCUCCAGGAGGAGAGUCCUACGCCUCUGGGUCCGAAGACGGCACCAUCCGAAUAUGGCAGACAGGCCCUUUGACUAAUGAAGAAAGUGAGGCGCAGGCAGCAAAUGGAGCUAUCGGAAAGGUGAAGCCACCCGUGGAAGAGGUCUCUCGAAAGAUUGAGGGCUUCCAAAUCUCCGACGAGGGCAAGUCCAAAGAGAAGGAAGAGGCACCGUCAGCAGCCACAGCAUCGGUGAAUGUGUGACUUUGUUCAGAGUGUCUGUCCAGAGAGUGUAUUAGCCGUUGCCCGGCACAAGUUCAGAUCUAUUCCUGGUUAAAGUACUACUUGGGUUACAUAGACAGAUGGAAACAAAUUUUUUGUACAACUUUCACUUCUGCAUUGUCGAGAUAUAUAGACUAUGUUCUUGUUACUGCUUGUUCAGACUACCUUAUAAAUGGAACUUUUCAGCUUCUUCUGGUUUAUAUUUCCUUCUAAGAAUAUGGAUCAUAACAUAUCAACAUAGCCUAAAAAUCAAUCCUUAAUUCCUAACUAGCUGACAAAGGAAGAGCAGAAUGCCAUGCUUGAAAUUAGGAUUGUAGUCUCAUUUGUGACAAUCCUAUGUGUUCAUAAUUUAAAGUUGGGCAAAUGUCAAUUUAGUACUAAUUUUAAUCAUUCAUUGUCAAAGUUGGGCAAAUGUCAAUUUAGUACUAUUCCAACGACAAUAUGUUUUAUGAGCCUAUUUGAAACCUUUUUAUGCUUAAAUAGUCAAAUUUUUAUUAAAGUCUAUUAGACUAUUUUAACAAAUUAUAUUAUUUUGAGACUAUAUUACUUCCACCGCUUAAACAUGCAUUGAGAGAAAAGACUUCACCGGAACCUCAGACUUUGGCAACUGGCCACCAGACUCCUGUCAUCGGAAUUUCUCCGGUCACCGGUAACUUGGUUACUAACCCCAGUAACUUGAUUACUGAUCCCCAAUAACUCAUAUAUUUCCCAGUCGCCGGAUUUCGGUCAUCGUAACUCGGUUACUGACCCCUAAUAAUUAGUUAGUGACGGCCUUGAACUAUUACAAUGUCACAAGUGGUUUUUUAGUAUCUUCUAAUACCUCAAUUACCAAUUAUCUUAAAAAUAAAAUCGUUUACAUCCCACCAAACUGGGAAACAUGGAAGAAGAAAUUUAUGUCCAUAGCCACUAGCUUUGUGAUAUCACACACUACAAUCACGUAUAUAUACCCACAAAAUGAGCUUCGCAUUGGGAUAUUGUCACCUACAUGUUGUGACUUGUGACUUGUGUGGAACUGUUUCGGCAUGACCACUUCCCUCUUUCAUACCCUGCCUUCUACUUUGGAUACCAUCAUAAGGCGAAACCAAAAAUUUUAAUCGAAGGGAGCUAAUGUUAGCUUGUGCUGUCAAGUUCAUCAUUUCAUAUAAAGCUUAAUUUUCUACAACCAUGACUUCGAUGACUCUAACUCUAUGAAUGUGUAGCUGUUUUAAUUUUUAUAUAUUUGUAUUUUGAAGAGAUAAUUAGCUGUUUUUGAAAGCUAUACUAUGGAGAUUGUGAGGUCGCUGCAACCAAUUUUCUGGGCAAAAGGUUCUUAAACUGCCUUUCCGCUUCAAGUCAUUUAGGCCAUUUGCUGAGGUGCACUUAUUCUAAACUAAUACUAUAUUAAUCAUUGGAGCUCAGUUUAAAUUCAUUAGAAUGUAUAUGGCUCUCUUUGUAAACCAAACAUUCACAAGUAACAAUUUUACGAUCAACAUUGUCAUGUGGUGGUUCAGGUCAAUAACAACACUGACAUGAGACUCGUACUAGAAGAUGGAUGGAUCGGCUUCAUUCUCAAUUUUCAUGCCAUAUACAUGCAAAUGCAUUUUAAGGUUGUUAGCCAUAGCUAGUACUGCACUACAAUAAUUGAUAUAGCUACCUGAUAACAGCAAAGCCACUGUGGAAUACAUCGUGUUUCCAAUUGGGUCAGAUUAUCAGUCACUACUGAACACGUUUAAUUUGCAUCUUUCGCCCAUUUCCUCACCAAUUCAGGAGACUUGACUUGUUUACAUCGUUUUGAGAAAUUAAAAUGUUUCUCACGCUCGCACAUAAAACAAGAUUCAUGUCAUAUCGAUUUACUGUAGGAGAUGAAUAUCAAAUAGUCGAUGGAUUCAUUGAACUAUUUGACGACUCGAUUUUCAUGACACAUAUAUGCAUGUGGCGGUCGCUAGUACUUGUACCUUUCUUGGUCUGGCUUAUUGAGCUCUUGUAGACAUUUUACUAUAAAUACCAAAGAAACGGAAGCAUUUCAACUCAUACUACUACCCAGCCACUUAAUCAAACCUCUCAUAUAAUUUAGCCACAUUGAACUAUGUCUCUCACCUCCGUCAUUUUAGCUUCCCAAUCCCCUCAAACCCUGAAUAAUGCCGAUACUCGACGUUCGGCUAAAUACCAUCCCAGUAUUUGGGGAGAUCGGUUUCUGUCUUAUAACAACACUAUGGUUUGUACAUCCUCGACAUUUAGCAUACAUCUGUUACAUUUUGUUAUCUGCAUGUCUGAGCCUUAUCGAUGUAUGUAUUAAUUUGUUUCUUUAACUGGCUUGUAUGUAGGAAACUAACAUGCAAGGUAAGCAACAAGUAAUCCAACAACUGAAGGAAGAAGUGAAGAGGAUGCUGAUGGCUCCGCCGGUUGAAACUGGUUUGGGAAAACUGGAGUUGAUUGAUGACAUUCAACGCUUAGGCGUGUCUUACCACUUCGAAUACGAGAUUGACCAAACUAUGCAGCAAAUUCACGAAAACCUUAAUGGCACCUAUGAUGAUGAUGACUUGCACACUUGUGCUCUUCGUUUUCGCUUGCUAAGGCAGCAUGGUUAUAAUGUUUCUUGUGGUAAUUGAGAUCUCGACAAUCCUAUUCAUUCAUUUUAUUUUGUUUUAAAUAAGGCUAAUUUUGAUGCAUUGGCAUAUGAAUAAUUAAGCAGAUAUGUUCAACAAGUUCAAAGAUUGUGAUGGGAAAUUCGACGAAUCGCUUCACCACGAUGUAGCAGGACUCCAAAGCUUGUACGAAGCCACACAUCUUAGGGUGCGAGGAGAGGAUUUUCUAGAAGAAGCACUAGCCUUCACAACCACACAUCUACAGUCGGCAGCAAAUCGUUUGAGCCCCCCGCUUUCGAAACAAGUAAGGCAUGCCUUGAAUCAGCCACUUCGGAAGGGCUUACCGAGGCUAGAAGCGAGGCACUACAUGUCUCUUCACCAGGAACUGCAUGGAUCACGUAACCAUGUUUUGCUGAGAUUUGCAAAGCUGGAUUUCAACCUGCUCCAACAAGUGCAUCAGAAAGAACUAAGUGAUAUUGCAAGGUUGAUACUAUCUGUUACCACACACAUUAGAUAGGCACCAGACAUGAAAAUUAACGUUACAUUUUUUCUCCAAUUAAUUAGAUAAAUAUGUGUGAUCAUCACUAAUUAUGUGAUUCAUCAGGUGGUGGAAGAAGUUGGACUUUGCUAGCAAGCUUCCUUUUGCAAGAGACAGAGUGAUUGAGUGCUACUUCUGGAUUUUGGGUGUCUACUUUGAACCCAAGUAUUACUUUGCUAGGAGAACCCUUACCAAAGUUAUUGCCAUGACAUCCAUUAUUGAUGACAUUUACGAUGUGUAUGGCACUCUUGAAGAACUAGAUCUCUUUACUAGAGCAAUUGAGAGGUUUGAAAUUGAUAUAUAUUUUUCUUCCCUUAUAUUAUAUUCUCAAUUUAUUCCGGACUUAAGCUUCACCACUUACCAUCGCCGUUCGUCUUCUUAUUUGCAGAUGGGACAUCUCAGCCAUGGAUGUACUGCCGGAGUAUAUGAAAUUCUGUUACGAGGCACUCUUAGAUGUUUAUGCUGAAGCAGAACAGGGGCUUGCAAGCGAGGGAAAAUCAUACCGUAUCGAUUAUGCAAAAGAAGCGGUAAUUAGUUAAUUAAGCCUCAAUUUUGCGUUUAGUAUUGUGAUUCCAAAGGUCGUUGAAGGUUAAGUAACAGUUGAUUUGCUGCAUAUAUGUCAUAGAUGAAGAGACAAGUUAGGGCAUACCAUGCUGAAGCCAAAUGGUUCCACAACAACUACACACCAACAAUGGACGAAUACAUGGAAGUAGCCCUCGUCACUUCAGCCUACUCAAUGCUAGCAACCACAUCCUUUGUUGGAAUGGGAGAUAUUGUUACUAAAGACUCUUUCGAGUGGAUCUUCAGUGACCCUAAGAUGGUAAAGGCUUCAGCAGUAGUUUGCAGACUCAUGGAUGACAUUGUAUCCCACAAGGUACUUGAAUUUGCUGCAGUAGAAAUUAUAUAUCUUAAAACACUUCCUUAGCUAAUUCUGACCUUAAUGUUCUUGGCAUGGCUAUACAGUUUGAGCAAAAGAGAGGACAUGUUGCUUCGGCCGUGGAAUGCUACAUGAUACAAUACGGUGCGACAGAAGAAGAAACCAUAAUCGAAUUUCGAAAACAAGUGAGUGAUGCAUGGAAGGACAUAAAUGAAGAGUGCCUCCACCCUACCUCUGUCAACAUGCCUCUCUUGAUGCGAGUUCUGAAUCUCACACGCGUGAUAGAUGUACUGUACAAGUCUGAAGAUGGCUACACUCAUGCUGGAACCAUACUCAAAGAUUUUGUAGCAUCUCUACUGGUAGAUCCUGUGACUGUAUAAGUGAAAACUGGGAACCUUUGUUUUAGUUCUUACAAGAUGUUUGAACUUAGUAUUGGAGUUGCAGGAGUGUAAUGUCAAAAGCAAUCCUUGUAAUCCCAACCUUUGUACGUUGGGAUCUAAUAUGUGGGUCUUAUUUUUUCAGUUGCAACUUUGAUAGUUCAUCUAAUAACGGAAAAGAAAUUCAAAGUCAUUUUGAUAAAGUAGUCUGGGGUUCACAUCCAAAACCAAUUGGCCAUGGGUGGAGUGGCCUAAACCCUUAUAAAUUCACAGGCAAGGUCCCAUAUUCCCGAUGUGGGAUUCAUAUCUCAACACAUUUUCUUUGAAUACGAACCUUUGACUUUGACAGAACAAUACGAACUCGAGCUUGUCCACGCUGAAAUCCUCCGUUGUCCACCUGCAAAACUCAAGUUAUUUUUCAUGUGUGGACUUAUUGUUGUCAGCAUGUACUUUUUCUGAGUUGGUCUUGAUUAAGUUCAUUUGGAAAUGGAAAAAUAGAAUAAGAGAUUCCGUGUAAGCAUAAGAGCUUAUGGACCACCAAAGCAUACUAGGAUAUGUAGUAAUUGGUUUUGAAUAAGAACUUAACAAGUGAGAAUAGAUAUGGAUAUGGAUCUUAGUAAAUAAACUAGACAAUAGAUCCAGCCGCGCCCUGCUGUGAUUCAAUAAUUCGAUUACUUCGGUCACUGGUUCAUAAAGAGUUCAUUCGAAAUUGUGUUUACUUUUGUUUACCUUUCCUAUACAAAUUUCAUCUACUGAUAUCCGUAGGAAAAACAGACUUGUUAGAAUCUAAAAUUAAGAUUCUCAAAAUGACUGGAGAGACUGUACCACAUGUCAAUGAAAUAAACAACUCAAAUCUCAUCAAAACCAUUUAAAUCAAGGCCAUGUUAGUCUCUUAAAAAAGAAUUUGAUCACUUGUCUUGCUAUUUGUUUAUAUGUUGAAGCAAAAUUUACGAUUAAGUUACGAAUGCUUAUCUAAGACCCUAAAACAUGGUUACUGCCAACACAAACUAACAUAUUCAAAAGAGCAUAUCAAAUGGUAGCUGCACAUUAGAAUUUGAGGGCUGAUCUACUUGUAAAUUUCAGUUCACUAAGUAUUCAAAUCCCUAGUAUUUUGGAAAAAUGCAUCUGAAAAGCCAAGAAUAAAAACCUAUCAAAAAACUUGAUAGAAGGAGAGGGCAAUGACCUCAAAAUAAGGGUAGAAUCCCACUCUCACCAUUGACUGAACUCUUGGGAUAGUAGAUUCUCACUGAGCUUUCUACUUUGUGACUGCUACUCCAUAUUCAACCUCCAUUCUGCAAAUUCAUGAGCGACUUUCAUAUGUUCUUGCUGCAGAGAAUAAUUGAGUUUAUAGUUAAAAUCAGAGUGACCAAGAAGUCGAUAAGGACAACAUAAUAAUUUUCUAAUGAAAAAAGGAUGUUUACCUUAGCAUUUUACUCUCAGAGGGAUCCUUUUCCUCCAUAAUUUGGAGAAGACCUUGCCACCAAACCAGCUCAGUUGCCAUUAGCUACAGUAACAGAAUCACAUUCCAAUGCUCCCAAUUCUAAGCAGAUGUUAAUGGAUAAAAGCAGUCGUCCACCAGCACUGACAAACAUGCAUACAAAUAGAAUAAGGGCAAGAAAAAAAAAGUCAAACAGCGAAUUCCAGCCAUCACAUUCUUAAACUCCCUUUUAACAAAAUGACCACCUUUUCCCCUCAAUCAAUACCUAAGACCAAAAUCAUGUAAUUUUCUACGGUAUGUGAUACCACCACAAAACAUAAAUCUAAAUACCUUGAUGUCAAUAUAAGCUACUGUUCAAUAAAUGAGGCUGCAGCUGCCAACCGAAAUAGAACCAACCACACAGCAAGUAGCAUACCAACAAAUACUACAAUCACAGGCACACAAAUUAAAAAUUCAUAAAACAUAAAUAUCCUUUAGGUAACCAAACAUGAAAUACAAAUGUCACAAAACAGAGAUUUAGGAUCAUUGCCAGAAACAAAAAUCAUGUAAAAAACAAUCACAGAACACAACUUGCAGACAGAAUACCAACACAUACAACAGAUGGAUCGCAUCUUUUAGGAUCCUCAACAUGUAUAACCCAAUUUAUCAUUACCCAGAAACAAAAAGCGUCACUGCACCGUACCACCACAACAGUUAAUAGCUACAAAAACCUUUAGGUUCUAAUAAGCCAAUUUUGUUCUCAAUAGACAAUUAGAACAUGACGUCGCUAUGCUUCCAUAGUUCCAAAUGCAUAAAGUAUGCCAGGAGAACAUCCCAACUUGAAUUUUGUGGCCACAAAAUUUAGCGAAGAGAAAAAACUGCUAGCUUUCUAUAUACACACACACAACAUCAGGUUAUGCAUAUAAUCGCUUGCCAAUCAAAAAUUGUAGAAGAAAUUUUGCUAAAAUUGUAAGGAGGUGUGUAUGCCUUAGUAUAAUAAGGAACCCGACACACUUGACCAUAAAGCAUAAGCUCACAUCAGAUUCCAGAAACGCAAACAAUCCAUUGACAGAACAAUUGUUAUAUAAAUGUACAAAGAUAUCACCCACUGCUGAAAAGAUAACAACUGAACUUUGGUAUUAUAUUCAAUAUUUGAAUGUACUGGCAACUUCACAUGCAUCCCAUCUCUUUUCAUUUCAUUGUUAACCUUUAAUUUCCUACAAACCAUGAAACCAUAACGAAAGCAUGGAUGGUAGCAAAAUAACUUAUUGAUGAGCACCGAAGAUCAGAUGCUCACCACGAUUUAUCUAGCUUAUCGAAGAAGUACAAACCUUCCAGAUCAGUAAUACACACAUAGAAGAAUAACUCCACAAAAUUUCAAGUCAAAACGGAUUCUUACAUCCUAAUCAAACUCGAGUUCAAAACAGCAACACUGCAUAACAUAGACACAAUUUCAGCAUAGAGCACUCAACUUCAGAAAAUCACUACAAAGCGCCUACCCUAUCAAAUAGUAUCAAACUUUCUAGAUCAAGAGUUCACAUAUGGAAGAAAAAGAGUACAAAGUUUCAGAGCAAAUGGAGUCCUAAAUCUUGAUCAAAAUCAGACUCAAAAACAGCUGCACACAUAACACGAAUACAAUUUCAAACAUGUGAACAAAGUACAAUGAAGAAAGAUGUAUACACUGUUCCUUGUCCAACCCAUUUUGCCCCGCAGCAUAAUAGGAAAGCCAUGUGCAGUACUUUUUAGUUUGGAUAAGUUUAUGCCACACAUCAUAAUCCUUUUAUUUUAAGGAUCCUCUUCAUCGAUGUAGAAUCAUGUAUCAAUUCAAUCCAAUUCGAUCAAUUCAAUCUUAUUAGUGUUUAACAUGCAUCCACAUCCACAUCAAAGCCAAAAAUUGAAACCUUGAAAUGAAUAAUGAACCCCUCCUCUUCAUUGAUGUAGAAUCGUUGAGCUUCUGAAGCUCAUAACCUGCAAAAUCACCUUGUUCUUGUUGCCAAACCCAAAUUAAUUUUCAUCAGUCCCUCUCUAUCAGUAAGACACCGUAGUGGAAAGAAAAACAGUCGCACAGUGCGACGAAAAAUAGUAUGUUAAAUCCUCAUUGGACUAAUUGGAUAUGGUCAACUUAACCUUUUGGAUCAGAAUACAAAUAGAACACAAAAACCAUGGGUCGGUGGUAUUGUAAAUUGAAAGAAAAUAGAGGGGUAUAUAAGUCAAAGUGGGGGUGAAUAAGUACCCAAUGUAUCUAACCAUCCAUCCAUCCAAACCAUUAUUUUUUCUCUCUCUAAAAAUAUCUGGUUUUCUCUCUCUAGAGAGGUCUCUGUAAAUCGUCUGAAUCAAAAAGAUCAAAUCUUUGGGUUUAGUUUUUUUUUUUUUUUUCGCGGGAAGAGAUGUCAGGUAAAGGCGCCAAGGGUUUGAUUCAUGGCAAAGGAGCCAGCAACAGCAAAGAUAAGGACAAGAAGAAACCCACCUCCCGAUCCUCACGAGCUGGCCUUCAGGUGAUUACCUUUGCUUCUUUGUUCUUGUUUUUUCUUGAUUUUGGGAUUUUAGGGUUUCGAAUUUGAUUGUUGAGGUUGAGUUUGGGGGGUUUAAUUUGGUAAAGAUUGGAACUUUUUUUGGUUUUGGUAUUGGGUUUUGGUUUGUUUUGGUGAUGAGAAAGCGAAUUAGAAUACCCACAUGGGUUUGGGAACUUAAAAGAUUUAGUUUUUACGGAUGAAUAAUAGUUGUUGAAUUGAGAGUUGAUUUGGAUCGUUUUGGAAGGGCAUGAUUUUGUGUUUUUUCCUUAAACCAUGUUUGUUAGGAGAACCAUAAUCCGAUUGAAGAGUUUGAACUUGAUAGAGAUUUGAUAGAUAGAUACAUUGGAGGGGUGAAUUUUGAAGUUUGAAGUGUCUCGCUCCUCUGGAACAUGCUCUAUUCUAGAUUGUUGUUUACAUUAUGAAUUUUCAGGGUAUAACUGUUUCGAUAAGAUUGUGGAUGUCUAGAAGACUAGAAUAGACUAUGCUUGCUCUAUGUGUCUUGGUAAACAUGAUUGAGUCUUCCUACUCAUAGUAAACAGUUUAAAGUUUCUAAAAGUCCUACCUGAAUCUGUUAGAGAAGUACCAGCUAUACAAUAGAAAUAAUUUCGGUAUAUGAUGUUGAUUACAUAAGUUGUUGGAAUGAUGAUAAACCUACUUAUUUAUAUGAUGUUAGAGACGGAGGAUCCUAAUUAGAUACCUGCAAUCUCCCAAUUAUUAACUUUCAUGAAUAGACUCUCUAGUGGUGAGGGAACGAAGGGUUUGAAUGUAAGAAAGUAGAAACUUCUUAAGACUUUCAUUUAAAAACAUAGCUUCAGCCGUAUGUUAUGAACUUCCAAAGUGUUUCUCUGUCUCACUUUUUGUCCAUUAUUUUCAAGUCAGUUUAUGGACUAUACUAGAGUUGUUGAAUUUCUGCCAUCUACUAAUUCUGUGGUGACAAAUUUCUAGUUCCCGGUGGGUCGUAUCCACCGUCUCCUGAAGCAAAGGACCACAGCUAAUGGGAGAGUGGGAGCGACUGCUGCAGUUUAUUCUGCAGCUAUCUUGGAGUAUCUAACUGCUGAAGUUUUAGAGUUGGCAGGCAAUGCCAGCAAAGAUCUGAAGGUGAAGCGUAUCACUCCCAGGCAUUUGCAGCUUGCAAUCCGUGGUGACGAAGAACUUGAUACUCUGAUAAAAGGUACCAUUGCUGGUGGAGGUGUCAUCCCUCACAUUCACAAGUCACUUAUCAACAAGUCCACCAAGGAGUAAUGAUGAGGGCCAAAAUUCUAUGAGGAGACUCUCCUUUGUGACUUAGGAUCAUGUGUUUUAGUAAUUCGUUAUUUUGCUAGUUAAUUUUCAUGUCUGAUAGUAUUUGUAAUGGAUAAUGGGAUCAGAAACUCUUCUUUUUUAUUAUUAAUCUAGGCUUACUCUAGGAACCCUGUCAUAAUGUCGUAUUGCAUCCCUGGUAUUAAAGGCGUGUUUGAGCUACAAUUGUUGUUUUUCUACCAUUCUAUUUUACAUGAAUUCAGUUGAUGAUGGCAUAACUGCUCUCAAUCGAAGAUGCGGUUCUUUUUAUGCUGCAAGGUGAAAGGUCUAUCUUCAUGUUAUUGACAUAUGUUUACUCGAGUAGUUUCCAUGAAUCAUCAACAGCAGUCAUUUGUGAAAGAAGAUGGGAACAGGUUUUAGUUCCAACAACCUAUUAAAGAUCUGAAAGGCGCGAAUUCAAUUGAAUACUCAUAAAUCCAUGUCCUUCUCAAUAUUCACUGCACAUUCCUCUUAAUCAAUACAGAUAAACAACCAUUAGCAUUAGUAAAUAAGUGAAAAAUUUCCUGCACUCCAACCUAAAACCACCAAAUAAUCUGCGCUAGAAGCAAUGAAAGUCCUUCCUAGAACCUUAAACAUGGAAAAGAACGAAAACCAAUUCUAAACUUCUCAUUAAGAAAAAAUAUCUAGCAAAAGCCACCAAAAUGGUAGUGGCGUAAGAAUGGGGACGACCAACUUAGAAAUUUAGAAGGUUGUCACUCUUGGAACAUCAACUGGGAACUGAUCAAUUUCAGCCAUCCACGGGCUCUUUUCCUUGGCAGGAUCUAUAGUCUUGAGAGCUUUCCACACAGCACUGUUACACUUGAAUCCCGACCCGAAAGCUAUCUGCCAUGUUCUAUCUCCUUUCUUAAUCCUUCCCUUUGCUUCUGUGUAAGCUAACUCAUACCAGAGAGAACUGCUUGAGGUGUUUCCAAAUCGGUAUAGUGUCAUCCUUGAUGGCUCCAUAUGCCAAUCAGACAGAUGCAGGUUCUUCUCCAAUUCAUCCAAGACGGCUCUUCCCCCAGCAUGAAUGCAGAAAUGGUCAAAAGCAAGUCUGAAAUCUGGGAUGUAAGGUUUGAUCUUCAUCUUGAACAGUUUCCUACCCACCAAUGUAGCAAAGAAAAGCAGCUGCUCGGACAUUGGAAGAACAAGAGGCCCCAGUGUGGUGAUAUUGGUCUUCAAAGCAUCACCUGCUACAGCCAUCAGGUCCUUCGAUAGUGUGACACCAAUAUGCCCAGCAUCAUCUUCUUCUUGAGUAACACAGCUAAAGCACUUGUCAUCAGCACCCUUGUGCGUGCGGACAGUAUGGACUAAUUGGUACUUGGACCUCCUUCUGUCUGAGUUUUUGUUUGAAAGAAGUAUAGCAGCCCCUCCCAUCCGGAAUAAGCAAUUUGAAACAAGCUUUGAACGAUCAUUGCCAAAGUACCAGUUCAAUGUAAUGUUCUCCAUGCUGAUAACCAGCGCAUAAGAGUUAGGAUGCACCUGAAGAAGCUUUUGAGCAAGAUCAAUUGAGAUGAGCCCCGCGCUACAUCCCAUUCCACCAAGAUUGUAGCUGACUAUAUUCCCUCGAAGCUGGUAAUGAUUGAUAACCAUGGCAGAAAGAGAUGGAGUUGGAUUGAACAAGCUGCAGUUGACAAUCAAGAUUCCGAUGUCCUUGGGUUUUACAGAUGUCUUGGCAAAUAGCUCGUCAAUGGCACCAUACAUCACUGCCUCAGCUUCUUUCCUGGCUUCUUUCAUUGACGGAUUUGGGGGAAUGUUAAGUACAGCCUCUGGAAGGUAUGUUGAAUCACCAAGGCCGGAUCUCUCAAGGAUCCUUCUCUGGAACUGUAGAUUCUCUUCUGUGAAUGUACCAGUCAUCGUAGACUGAUCCAUGAAAAUCUUUUUCGUGCAUUUUCGAGUUUCUUCUGGCUUGUAACAAGAAAAGUUAACAAGGUACACAGGGCGAGGGCGGGUAAGAAAGUAUACAGUGGAUAGGAACACCAGGAGGGUCGAGCAGAUGAUCACCGAAAUCAGGUUGUAUUGGAGAUGCUCCCAUAGAUCAUAUAGAUCUUGGAGCGAAAAUGUGGAGAGCUGGGCAGCAAUAACAAUGACAAGAGGGGAAAGGAAAAGGUACAUUCCAUGGGUGAUGAGAAUAUGGUAACCAAGCUUCACAUAUUUUAGCUUAAUGGAUUUUUUGAAGUCGGGGAGGUUCCUAUUGUUUGAGGGUCUAGAUGAUGGUGGGAUCAAUGGUGUAUCUGGUUUUGGUUCCGCCAUAUUUCCCUGAUAAACAUACAACACCUCUAAUCAGAUCAAAUGCACAACAAAAUCAUAAACCAAUGUAUUAAUAGAAAAUUAUAAUCACAGAAGAUGAACUACCAGAGACUAAAAAUUAAAUUAGUAAAGGGUGGUUUUCCAGAACAUAAAGGCAAAUUCCAAUAGCUUUUCAAUUGGCAUCCAACCAGAAAUGACUCUUGGAAAGCCAAUGGAGCUUUUCAAAAAAGAAGGUUGUCUAUUAUUUACAGCUACAUAUCACACUGAGAUAAUGAAAAGGCAGAAAGAACACCUAAUGGUCCCAAUCCAAGCACCAAUUCAAAAAUGGUGGAACAGAACAAAAGCUACACACUUUGAUCCUUACAAGUUGGAGCCAAAGUGCUAAACACAAUCCAAACACAACCCCAGAUCAGAUUUUUCCAAUAAAGAACACUUCUUUCCAAACAAAUCAGCAGAUUAACAAACAAUGUUACACAACCCUUAUAAACACUCACACAAAGAACCAAACUUUAUCACAGAAACCAUACAAAUUCACACAUCCAAGAACAGAUCAAACCUCCCAAGAUACAAAACAGAACGUUAUAGAAAAAAGCUGCAAGCUUUGAUAAUGAGGCAAAACCCAGAUCGAAGACUGACCUUGGUUGCCGAAACCCACCACCAGAUCUCACAGGAAUGUCGUCGUCGCCAGCCAAAGACAACCGGAGAGAAACAGGGCAAAAGGGAAUAUGGGAGAGGUUCAAAGUUUGAAGUGAGAUUAUAUUAGAGCUAAAAAUAGGGANNNNNNNNNNNNNNNNNNNNGGCAAAUGCAUUUGCAAUUUUGGGUUUUAGAUAUUUUCUUUCUUCUAUUUUGUGUGUGUUUUCAUUGCUUUUUUCUCAUUUAAGAGGUUGAGAAUAAAGAUGUAGGAAAUCAUUCUAGUGAAGACCCUUAAGUUGAGGAUUUGGUGAGGGCUUUUCGGUUUAUGGUUUAAAAUACCCAAUUUUCGAUCACAUGUUGACAUCUUAUCUGUUCAGUUUUUAGGUUUAUAUGAGUAGAUCAUUUCUACAAAUUUUCACCCAAAUUGGUGUUCAUUAAGAUAACAAACUAGAUCAAAUUAAUGGACGAACCAAAUCUGCCAAAUAUGAACCGUUCAAGUUCAUAAUUGAUAAAUCACACUUAUGAAUGUCUUAACAAUUUUCAAUAUAGCUGAAAAUUUGAAGAAAUGAUAUACUCAUAAAUACCUAUAAACUGAACGGUCAAUAUGUAGAUAUAAGAUCGAAAUGUGGGAUAAACCGAAAAGUCUUUACCAAGUCCUCAACUUAAGGGUCCUCACUAGAAGGGCUCCCUAAAGAUGUAUACCAAAAAGAUAUCAACUUCCAAGUCUGUGUACAUGAAUCAUGUGCCAAUAUUUGUGUGAUAUACAUCUUAUCGGGUUGCAUUAGCUUUCAAGGUCUCUAUGGAUUGUGAAUCGAAAUUUACUCUUAUACAGUUAGUUGUUAGAGUUUAUUGUCUCAUGAAAAUUGUAGCGUUCGAAAAGAUACCAUAAUUUCAUGUCUAGACCCGUUUGGAGAUUUACUACUAUGAAACUCGCAUUCAUCCAAAGUACAGAAAACUAAAAUUUAGAAAGAAAAAAAAAACACCCUCUAGCCUCUGGUUUAUAUGUGGAAAUAAUACCUCCAAUAUUCUUCCCUUUAAUUUUGCUUUUCAAAAUCAAGGUGACAAUACAAAUGGCAUGAUGAUUGGAAAAGAAAAUGUCAAAUUAUUCCCUCUUUGAAUAUGACAAGUGAGAUUGAAGAAGAGUAUAGUGAAAUACAACAAAAUCGAGCCGCCCAUUACAGUUAAGGAGCCGUCAAGAACAAAGCCAGAAGGCUUAUAUUAUAUUUGACUGGUAUACAAUUCAGUGAAUUGGUAAUGUUGUAUAGGGCAGGCAAUUUGAGGAGGGACCAAGCACGAGGUUGAUGACCAGUUGUUCACAUGGAUAUAAAGGUUACAACUCUGUCACUGUCCCUAUUGUCAGCUGCGCUGGCUCCACAUGCUAUGCUGUUCUUCAACUCAAUCCAUGAGCUAUAUCAUCUUCUAAUAACAGAAACAACAAACCAACUUCAACAAUGAAGAAAUUUCCAAGUCUGUCUGUUUAGCAAGAUUUGACAAACUGUUUUAUGAGGAAAUGGUGAGGGUGAGAUGGAAUCUGGGAGAGUUGAAAAGGAAAUGUUGCCAACAAAUUUAUCUUGUGGGGUUAAGUUGGCAUCAACCAUCAAGCAUAAUUCCACCUUUGAUCAAACUUGGUUAAAGAAAAGCAAACUCUAAUACAGGAAAAGAAAUCUUACAGUAGUAACUUGCUGUUGGAGAACAAUGAUAUGAGGGAAAGUUAGUUGAACAAUAGGCAAUGUUGAACAUGCUACUCCAAUGUGAAUUCCUCCAGCCAUAUCAGCACUUCAUUUCUCUAAAAUGCAGUCAGCACCAAAACAACACAAAAGAUCAACCGUUAGAGUGAAGAAAGCAAAAUUCGGUAGGAUUUGGCAAAAAGAGGACUAACAGUACAAAUAAAAGCUUAAUGAUCAAGAUUACUUGCUACUGGUUUUGCUUUGUCUAGAAGGCAGUAGAAGUAACAGCUACCAAGACUACUACAACUAGGGCUAGUAAUCAGGCCAAAGUCGAGUUCAACUUUUCUUGAAAGAGGGUUGCUUGCAGUACUCAUAGACCUUCAAUAUGUGAAAGGGUAGAUAUAUAUCUUGUAACUUAUUAGAUGAAGUUUCAACAGUUGAAAUUUUCUUAGUUGAGGUUUUCUUGAAAACAGGUUUUCUUGCAGUUAUUCCAGAGCUUCAAUGUCAAAGGUAGCUAGAUAUCUUCCAACUUCUUGGAUGAAGUUCCUAUAGUUGGAAUUUUCUUUGGUGAAGAAUUUUCCAUCUUGAAGUUUUCUUUGAUGAAGUUUUCUCCAUAUAUCAUAUAAAAUUAGAGAUAUAUAAGAACACAUUAUCAGACUGGUCACUGAUGUUACAUACCAUUAUAAAGCUCCAAGUUCGGCCAGGGUCAUUGUAACGAGCAAGCAUACACCCGGCCUUAGGUUUGAGACCAUCUCUGAUAAGACUAGCACGCAGCAAAUUCUCCUUUUCACGAACAACAUCUUCGGUAGGCUUCCCACUAAACUUGAUAACAGCAGCAAUGCCUUCUUCCAUUUUUUUCAAGCUAAUUGUUUCUGCAUUAGGAUCUGGUAAACUGGCCACAUCACAUUUUUCUUAUUAAUAUAUAACUCUUCACAAGGACAAAUGUAAGUACGAUAUAUAUCUAACAUCUAUUAAUUCUCCACCUGCUUAAAUCCUUGUCAAGUGGAAGACAUACUUUGAUGGAUACUUUGGAAAAUUCAGCAUCAGAUGCCUCAGUGAACACCGGAGUUGUCAUUGGUAUCUUUUCCAUUUUUGAGUUCUUUCCAAAGAUGUACCUAAGCAAAUCCCAUUUCCAUAUCACAAAAAGAAACAAAAUUUUUUUUUUUUAAAGAAAAUAUAUUUAUAGCACAUGAUUAGCUAAGCUGUAAUGCAAGCACUCACCCAGUAACAUCAUUGAAACCAGCUGAUCCAGACAGCUUGUCUGCACUUCCUUCUACCACUAUAAAAGGGGAGUACUUUCUUACCUGUAGAAUCAAUCCAGGAAUCACCAACAAAACAGUAAAACCAUCCAAUCAAAUAGAGUUACAGAAGAAAACAAAAACCUUCAAAUGUAAUGCAUUUCAUUCAUGAUUCAUCAACUUUAGAGAAUGAAGUCUAAAAGCCCAACUUUUAAUGAAUGCAACAUUAGCCAUUCACUAAGGAGAACACACCUCAUAAUUUGCUGUUCUCUUUAGUAUGUCAUAUUUUGGUGUUUCCAAGUCUGGAGUUUUGUAAAUCCUCAGCUGCAGGGUUUUACAUACAAGAAGAGACUAAGGCAAGAAAGAAUCUUUAUACAUGAUAAUGGAAAGUGUAUAAUGAGUCUGCCAAUACCUGCUUGAAUACAUCUAACAAACCUUCUACAGAAAAAUAGUCAUUCUUCUUAAUGGAAUCCCAGAAGUCCUACAUGUACAUUACAGCAGAUACAUGAACAAUUUUAGAAAUUACGCUGUAUCAUCUACAUUGUACUAUAAAGAGUCAUGAGGUGAAUGAUUGUUACCACAUGGCUGCAGAACUUCCCAGUUUCGGGGUUGAUUCCCAUAACAGAAGUACCAGUGAAGAUCAAUUCUGGUUUCCAAGGCAGAGGGACGAACUUCAUAACCAUAGUCCACCUUGUAGUGAUUUCAUAUGGUCCUGACUAUAUAGCAUCUUAAUCAGUAACUUAAGACAGUCCCACUCCAAUUUCAAGUGGACAUCCACAUGAAUAUGCACAGAUUGAAAACUUUAAACUAAAAGUUUGAGUCUGCACUCAAAUUUUAUUUCCUCAUAUUCAACAUAGUCACAUUAACCUCAUCCAACAUAUAUAUGCAGCUAUGCAUCAUCCAAAAUUCUAAGUUACAUAAUUUCAUUCUAUGAAAAUCAUUGAACUGCACCCAGUUAAAUUCUUAUAUUUAAUUACUCAAUGCCUAAAAUUCCCAAUAUUCUAGUAGUUAAUCUAAUAAGGGAAAGAACACAGGUCCUUUAAACAGUUACCUGUUUUACCCAGUGCAACUGGAACUUGGGAGUGAAGACUGUCUUCAAGAAGGCAAUGUUCAACAAAUAGCCAGUUAUAGAAUCAUGCUUGGUGAUUGGAUCCCUGAACUUCACACGUUCAUCAUACGCCGUCCGAUCAAUUCCUUGAUCAUCAAACAAGUGAACUAAAUCCUGGUACAGAAAAUCGACCACCCUUUCCAUGUCGACGGUUGAUUUUGGCGGGCUUUGGUCUACUAAGCUAAGUCUAACAGCCCACUUUGAGUAGUUUUGCCUUGUUUGAAGCCCCAAGUGUUUGUGUUUCAAGGCUUUGGAACGUGGAUGGCAUGGUAGUUUAUUCGCUUUGGUGGUGCUCAGCCGCCGUAAACUGACGCACACGGCGGGGAUAGGCCUGAAAACUUGGUCGGAAAGCUGUGUGCUAGCCAUUUGGUGGUUGUGGUGGGCGUGUGACUGUGUUGGCUUGGUGCGUGACCAUGCAUUGCUACUAUGAAACAACUUAGCCACAAGUAUUGAUUGGUUGGUGUUCGUUUCUGAAAUUAGUGGCUACAAUUUCUUCAUGUAAACAUAAUUGAAUAGUAGAACUCGUCGUUUGUAAAUACCUUAUGAAAAUGAUAAGGAGAAACACUAGUAUCAUUGUCCUGCAGAUAUGACUUUAAGCUAAAUUCUCCAUUCUAUGGUAGACUAGCACAGUAUUGCAGCACAAUUUCACACUCUCAGUACAAGACUUUACUGAUGAGAAACCCCUCUGUAUAUUUGGCCAUCCAUGAACUUCAAUAUCAUAACUAAUCCAAAACAUAAACACCAAAUAAGUGACCAUUUCCCAUCUCCUAAAUCACACAUUGUGCAGGAGAAAGAUGAAAUGAAGGGCAAGAUUCCUCCUGCCGUAAAUAAGUUGGAUAAGUGAGGGCAUCAAGGACUUUUUCAUUUGCUAAGAAAUUAAAAUGUAGCUGGCUUAGUAUAGAACCCUCUUGUUUCCCAGGGUUCUGACAGGAAUCACAGGAUUAAAUGGCAACAGCCCUCCCUCAGUCUCCCACUCUCAAGACUCCUCUUUCAGGAUGUGUGACGACGAGUGCUAUGAAGGUAAGUCUCUCUUGACCUCUGCAUCCACCUCUAAGCUUGGUUUGUCCAUUUCUAAUGUCAUCACAAAAUGGCUCGAAUCCCUACCCGAAGAAAUCAUACCCAACAUCCUAAUCACACUACCUGUCAAAUCCCUCAUCAGAUUCACCUCUGUCUGUAAAUCUUGGGAGUCCACCAUCAAAAACCCAAAAUUUAUCCACACCCACCUCACCCACACUCUCAAUUCCAAUGACCAAAACGACACCCACCUCAUUCUCUUCCACGAUGUUCAUAGUAAACAUUUCUGUCACUAUCCUAAGUACAAGAAGCCUCUUUCUCUCUGCAUUAUGAUUACACUGCUGCUGUUACUGAGUAUUGCAAGAUUGAGUUUCCAGUAGCUAUCAAGGAAGCAGUCAUGAAUGCUUUUCGUGUUGUGGGUACUUGUAAUGGGCUGGUUUUGCUGGCUGAUGAUUUGGAGGAUUACGGUUACACCUUUGUUGUAUGGAACCCUAGUAUAAGAAGGUAUGUGACCCUUCCCAAGUCCACUAUGAGGUUUUCGAGGCAAGGUACGUAUGUUGGUCCGGUUGGUCUGGGUUAUGAUGCUGUUGGUAAUGACUAUAAGGUUGUGAGACUUACCACCCUUUUUAAGAAAGAGAAUCCUUGUCGGCCUGAUAUUUGGCCCACUUCAGUUGAGGUUUAUUCACUCGCCAAGGGCAUUUGGAGCACGGUCAGUCCUCCUCAAUGUAUUGUUCUUCAUUACUCCGCUGCUCAGGUUUUCGUCAAUGGGGCACUUCACUGGAUGGCUAAGCAUUGCCAUUGGAUAGAUGAGAUGGUACAUAUAGACUCUUUCAUUUUGACAUUUGAUGUGGCUGCUGAGUCAUUUGGAGAGAUAAUGUUGCCCAAGGGCUUCGAAUCAGAGGAGGCACAGUUGUCUACGUUGUCUGAUUCUGGAGAUAGAAAUUCUAUUGCUCUGUUUGUGAGGAAUGAGGUUCCGGGUGCUUUUGGUCUUGAAUAUUGGGUAAUGAAAGAGUACAGUGAGGAGAAAUCAUGGACAAAGUUGAUGGUUUUUGGUCCACAUGAUCGGUGGAUAAAUGUACCCAGGGUAUUGUGUUUUAGGAGGAGUGGUGAAGUGAUGUUGUUACUUAAGGAUGGCCAUACAGUUUCACUUGACAUUGUGAGCGAAGAAUUUAAACAUCUAGGGAUGUAUGGAGGGGACCUUAGCUCUGUUCACUCUUAUGAAGAGAGCCUUGUCUUGCUUGAAAGGAAAGAUGUUGUUUCUUACUGAGGCAAUGAACCAAGUAAGGUGAUUAUUUCUUGAACUUACCUUUGCUGAUAGCUUCUAAUUUUAAUGCAUAUGCUGCUAAUUGUAUAUGAUCUAUGACGAUUGGAUUUUACCUCAGCCACAAAGUUUGAUAUUGUGUAUGCUGAUUGCUUUGAUUGCUCUGUGCGUCAUGUAUUAUAUUUUUUCUUUGCCACAAGUUUGUUGUUCGUGUCUUUCUGGUGUUUCGUUAGGAACUUGCUAUAAUAUUGUUUUAAAUGUUUUCCUGUCUUAGCUAAUUGUCUUUCUUGUUCUGUCGUUUUGAGAACAGAGACUAGUAACCAAGUUGAUUAGAAAUCAAGCAAACCAACUUCAGAACAAUUCGCUGUACUUUAUGUUUGGAAAACAAGACUUAAAUGAGUAACUACUCAUAUCAUAUCAUUGCUUUCUCCGUGUUUUCUAUAAUAUCUGUUUGGUAUUACCUUAGACAGUAGAGUGUGGUCUCCAAGGAACUGUUGAGGCUACUGCAUUGUAUUUGAAAUUACAUGUUUUUAUUUGCUGUUGUUAACUGACCAUAUUAUCUCUGUCGAUGAUGUGUACUUGUCACUUUGAAUCGUUCCCAACCAACCAUAUUAUCUGGUCGAUUGAUUUGUUAGUUUUUGAUGACUACUUGUUACUUUUAAUAUGAAUAUGGCACAAAUCAUGCUAUUUGAUUUUCUAUUUGCAUAGGCAGCAUCAUAUGAAAGCUGAUGAAAUGUGGGAUACCAAAAUUAAGACCGAGUAAUAGUUGCAACUUUCUACUCUAAUUUCUGUAGAUUUUCUUUGUUUAUCAAUAUUUGGAUUGAAUUUCCAUGGCAUUAUCUUUUUCUUUUCUGGGUUGAAUUACCUCCGUUUUACAUUACAUGCCUUGGCAAUCUUGAGCUGAUUAUCAUCCUACAUCUCUGUCAUCAACUGUGAACCACAUACUUUCCCUUCACUUCACUCUCUAGUCUCUAUGUUGUGUUAAUACAAAUAUCUGAACAAAGCGUUGAAAAGUGUUCUACUACCACUUCCGGUGCGUUCAUGCAGCAUCCCUUUUGGGACUCCAUAGCAUUUGGGACUCCAUUUGUAUAAUAUAACUUGCUGAAGCAUUUAUUCAAUUGUGUGCAGGUCAGACAUUGGGACACAUGACUUUCAAGACUGUUUUUUGUAGCUGUGAAGUGUGAGAAUCUGAUGCAUGGGUUUGCAAUUUCAGUCACUCCAUCUACCGACUGAACUUUUGAAGUGCAUCUAUAUAGGAUAUGUAGUCCCAUCUAGUAUGGGUAUGUAAUCCUAACAUGACUCGCUUCUAAUUUGGAUCUUCCAUCAGACUUAUCAGUAGUUAUUAGUAUUCUCGUGUGUAACAAUAUUUCAACUGAAUAGAUUACCCUCUAUCUUAAUCGUUUACGCGAUCUCUUGUGGUUUUUCUUAACCGCAUCCAAAGCUUGAUGCUUACAAGCUUUGGAAUAUGGAGAAUGGCCUAAAUUUGCCUUUGCUACUUGUGAAUUCUUUCAUGCUUGUGUCUUUGCUAUUCCACAUUCUAUUGAAAGAUCCUUUAGACAUUGAGAACAGGUCAACUUGCGGAACAUGAUUCACCUUCGAUUAAUCAGGGAUGACACUAAGAAAUUGAUACUAGGAGAGAAAUUUGACAUAUGCUAAGUAUCAGAAGUCUCUCAAUAUACCCUGAAUUGAUUCCCUCAAAGAUUGAUGUGAAAUUGAAAGAAAGAACCAGUAUCAUACUCACUUCAAGCUAAUUUCUCCAAUCUAUGCUAGACUAGCACAUUCUUGCAGCACAAUUCCACACUCUAGCACACGACUUCACUGAUGAGAAACGCGCCAAGCAUAUCAUCAUUCCCCUAUAUACACACUUCAAUAUCCCAACAAGGCUGUUGUAUUGCCAAGUUGGGCUCUUUCAUUACGGACUUUGGUGGUGGUUCAACGGGGCCGUGACUGGAGUAAAGCCCAUAUGCAUUGCAAAUUGCUUUUCGGCUAUGAGACAUCUUACCCACAAGUUGAUUGGUUGGUGUUCAUUUCUGUUUACAUCCUUAAAUAUAUUAUGCAAAACUAUUAAGAUAAAGAUUUUAAACUAAAUAUUUCAAUACUAACCUCACAAUCAAGAAUUUUUGUGAAAAUAUAAUAUUAAACUAAAAUCAAUAAAAUCCAAACAACAACAAUUCUCUACAUCUUUACAUCAAAAAAAAAAAAACAAUUCUCUACAUCUUUUAAAUCAGAUUUGAGAAUAUACAAUGUGGUGGGAUUGUUCGUUCUUAUUUUUAUUUUAUUUAUGGCUUCAAAUGUAGUCUUUCAUAUAUAUAAUCGUAAAGAAGGAAGUCAAUAAAGAGAUCAAGGAGAAUAUAUAUAGGAUGUGGUUUGUGAAUAAAUAGAGGUAUGCGUUAAAUAUAUUGAUGAUAUAUUUUUAUAUUUUAUCAGAUUGAGGAAAAUAAAAUAAAGAAAAUAAAAACCAGAUUUUCUCUCAUAAUUUUGAGGGCAGAAUUAGAACGUUAAAGAUAAAAAAUAAGACGUGGGGUGAACUAAGCAUUUAGUGGGGUGGAAAUAGCCGCACCCUAAAAUAUUUGUAAAAAAUGUUCUAAAAGGUGCUAAAAACCAAGAAUAAGAAAACUCAUUAUUUGUAAAUUAAAGUGCAUAUCUUAAAUCAUUUUUGUCUAAGUAAAAGCAGGCAUGAAUCGAGAAUCUUAAACCACAAUAAUAUCAUACAACAAUUCUCAAAUAGAAAGAUCAUAGCCCCAUAAAUUACAAAAUUUGCUCACUCAUAUCCACCACUAAAGUAAUAUAUGUACAUUGCAUUUGUGUAGAGAACUACUAUAAAUUUAGGAAAAUUCAUACCUGUCCAAACUUUUUGACUGUUAUAUGUACACGUUUGUAAAACAUUGCCAUAUAAAGUGAACGUUGGACAUGCAUUAGAAAAACACAUUCUUCCACACUCUUGACACAAGUCGUCACUGACGAGAAACGCGCCAAGAAGCAUCAUCCCUCUAUAUAUAUGCCCAUCCAUGAACUUCAAUUCCAUAACCAAUCCAAAGCAUACACACCAAAGCUCCCAUUUCCCUCAUCUCCUAAUUCAGACUCUUCAUUUCAUAAGAAAACCCAUCAUCCAAAACCUCCAAAUCAACAGUCCAAACUAGAAGGAUGUCGAAAAUGUUUGCCCUUUCAAAGUUCGAGACUGCCUCAAUAUCAUGGUGGAAGAAGCAUGGAGAUGGAGACGACGACGGUGAUGAUGGAUACGACUAUGCCCCAGCGGCAUCAGCAUGCAUGGAAGGCGACAGCGAUGACGACGAUUCCGACUAUGAUUAUGCUCCGGCGGCCUCUACGGAAGGCGAUGACGACGACGAUGAUGGUGGUUAUGAUUAUGCUCCAGCUGCAUAAGAGCUGUGUAACUAGCAAUUCAGUCGAAAUUGCUUAUAUUAAUUCUUGAUAUGAGAUCGAGUGGCAUUUCUAUCACAGGGUUAUUUGCAAACCCCUAAGUAUUUUCUGACGGCCUUUGUAGCUCGUCAGAUGUUAUAGGGUAUUAUGUAUCAAUUUCUGAUCAGUAAACCUCUGAAUUAUGGUCCUCUACUACUCUAAUUUCGUUUUUUGUUUGAAACUCGAAGAUGCUAAUUAAGUAUUAACAUGAGCAAAUGUGGUUUGUGACACUGUUUCCUUUCAAUGAUCGAAGUCUGUAAUAGUUUCAAGCACACAAUAAGUCUCAUUUCCCUAUCUGCAAGUUUGCUUAAUUAGUGAAAUAGAAAUACUUUACAUGGAUGAUUUGAUCAUCACUUACUAAAUGAAACUACUUGACUAUCAAUUCGAGGAACCUGGAGAAACCAAAUUUGUUCAUAUGCUGUUGUUAUUUUCCAUCUUUCUUGUAAUGGCUCAGCUCACCCCGCACUUGCUUUAUCAUGAUAUUCUCUUCCUUUACCUUUUCAAUUAUAAUUCUAAUGUAUUUCUCUAAGUGGUCACUUUACUUAUCAUCUGCUAUAAACUAAAUUCAAACUUUCUGGGAUUGCUGACGAAGAGCUUAGUAUUCGACGAGCUACUAA
rnacentral:lncRNA from 1 species